rnacentral:lncRNA from 1 species
CUCGUCCUCCUCUUUCCCCCCGCCCCGGUCCUGACCAUCGCUGGCCACAACUUUAAGUCCCGCAUCAUCAGUGAACAAUUCUGGCGAUCACCUGCAUCCCCCAUCCCCUAAGAUAGAUAGUGGGGUUGCUUCUUCUCCAGCGAGGUCCGGCCUCCCCCAGAAAAGUGACUGGGGCAACGAUGAUUUCUUUGUAUCUGAAAAAUAGCGAAGCCACUAUUCAUUGCAUGUAAAACUAGUGGCGCAAGAGUUGCACUAGUGUUGAUGUAGAGAAACUGAUGUGAUAAUCCAACCAAAAGGCUGACAAGACCGUAUUGUAAUAACUCCUAUAGUUGUUCGCUGGCCUAGGAAAUGGCACUUAAUUCGCAAAAAAGAAAAGGAAAUGGCAGUUAAUCUCUUUUGAUGAGAACAUGGUUGGUGUGAGUACGGUUCACCAAUAGUAGACUGGUUGCAAGGACAAUGUGCACGGCCGGAUGACUAAUACAGUACAGUUGCAGCGUCCAAGUCAGUCUAUGAUUAUCGUCCAAAUUAACAAAGUGCGCACGGGUGGAAGAGUCGGGCACUAGCUCUAGAUUGAUGUUCUAAAUUUUGGCCAGUUUAACUAGGAUAUAAUCUGUUGAAAAAACGAAAAGGGAGAAACCAACAAAGGAAUGCGCACGUACGCGGCAAAGAGUUGUUAAUUGCGGUGGCGGCGCCGCGACGAUCACGAGCACACGACACGGCGACCCAAUAAUGCAUGCGACCUCCGGCCACACGUACGUACACUCGAGAGAAGAUGAGAGAGAAAGUGCGAACGUUUGGUAACAAAUCACGGUUUUCAUGUAGUAUAUCAUUAGCCAGGAGACCACCAAUCCAUCAAGCGGAAUAGUUUGACCAUGAUAGAAAGUGUGGAGCGAUCGCAACCAUGAUCGAUAAAAGUAUGGACUGUAGCAAGGAGAGGCAAAGUGCAGAUAUCUUCUGGUGGAGUGGUGGUGGUGGCGACCGGCCGAAGGAAGGAGGGCAGAGACGUGGCGGCACGGGGAAAAGAGGGGACAGAGAGCCGAUGGGGCAGACCACACUGUUGUCUGUUCUGUACUUCUGUUAAACUGUUGUUAAUAUCUUAAACUGUUGUCAAAGCAUCGGUCGGCCUGUCAAGGACGAAUCAAGGCGAAAGCGAGCGUGGACACCCUCAAAAAAAAAAAAAGCGAGCGUGGACGAAGAGACUGACUCAUGAACCAACCGCCUAGACGCUCGCGAGCAAUAUCAGUCGAUGGAGGAGAAGGCCAGAAAAGGCUACGCUCAGUUCCAGUAAGCCAUCGCUUCACGGGAAUCGAUGACCUCGACGGCCUGAAACCGCAGGCGAAAACGGCGACACCCAGCCCCGGGUCAGCCGUGCCAGCAAUGGCGACGUUGCUGCUGCCGCUGUGCCAGCACCGUCCGGGCUAGUGGCAGUGGGAUUCGCAGCCUUCAUGGCGCCCAUGUAGAUCGAUGGCGUGCUUGUGUGCGUGCGUGCGUUCGUGUACAGUGCUUGCUCCUCUAGAGUUCCCGUCCAAAGCAGUAUGAUAAGAGCUUCUCCGAUAGAAGAUGCAAAUUUAGAGAUGUAAAACAAAACAUGUAAAAAUUUACAUCUCAAAAAGUGUGCUUUACAUCUUAAAAUAAGAGGCAACUUCAACAGAUGAUGUUUAUUGGAGAUGCAAAAGAGCAUCUCCAAUAGGUGAUGCAAAAAUGAAGAUGUAAAAACUAGUGGGCGGCGGCACGGCAGCGCGAUGCGGUUCAGGGCGGCGGCGUCGGGGCGGCGAGGGUGCUGAAUCAGGACGGCGCCGUCAUGAGUCGGGGCGGCGAUUCGAGGCGGAGAGAGAACGAGCGGCAUAGGGCCGGCGGAAGAGCAUCAAAGGGGCGGCCGGCUUCGCGUGGCGGGAAGAACGGUGGAGGCGGGUGGUGUGGCGCGCCUCCCCUACAUUCUGCAAUGGGUGCAGGUUAAGAACAAGCCCAACCCGUCCACGACCGUGCCAUGGAAGCCAUUACGGCAGCCGAAGAAGCUUUGAUUUGAAGCGGCGACCGAAAUCGAAUUAGCAGCCAUGGGGGCAGUCAUAGCUACUCUAGUGAGGCAAGCGGUGGGCGACAGGCGGGCGGAGUUACGACAAGGUCAGAGGUAGGCAAGCGGGCGGCGGAGUCACGACAGGGUGGGACCAGGUUAGGAACAAGCCCAACCCGUCCACGACCGUGCCAUGGAAGCCAUUACGACGGCCGAAGAAAGCUUUGAUUUGAAGCGACGGCCGGAAUCGAAUUAGCAGGGCAGUCGUCGCUACUCUAGUGAGGCAAGCGGCGGGCGGAGUCACAACAGGGUCAGAGGUAGGCAGGCGGGCGGUGGCGUCAUCGAUUUUGGAUGAAAUCGGCCGGCAGCGGAGUUGGGCUCCGGGUGGAAGCCGAAUGAAGGCAGUUGGGCAGUUGACAUGUGACCGUUAUUUUUACAUCUCCUAUAGGUGAAGACGUAUAUUUGCAUCGCGAGGUGUUGUAUUUUACAUUUUCGGAAGAUGUAAUUUUUUUCAUCUACAUUAUUUGUUGAAAAAGGGGUUUUGGGGCCUCAGAUAUUCAAAAAUUAGUUAUUUUUGCAUCUACAUCUUCUAUUGUAGAUGAUCUAAGCCUUCCAAAGCUAUGAACAGGGCACUAGAGAAGAGUGUACAGUGCUUGCUUGUCGAUGGCGCGUCUACCCUCAACACUCAACUCAAAAAUACAUAAGCAUUGACCCUGAACGCUCGACUCAAAAAUGCAUACGCAUCCUCGGAAACGCUCAGCAACUCUAGGAACACACAAACGUCAGUGAAGAAAGUAACCGUGGAAACCCGGAAACCAAAUUUUGUCCCUGGAAAAAGCAGAGUAAUCCUACGGAAGUGCGUCGACCCGGAAGCUCUUUUUUUUUUUCUACAACGGAUGUAAAUAAAACCAAACUGAAAAAGAACGAGACAUACAAACAUACAGACACUGGACUGUGCGUUUUGCACGUGUGGUCACAAGGUAGAGAGGCCCUGUCAGCUGACGCACUUCCGGGCGUGAACGAACAGGGCAAGUACCUACUCCUACUUGGGCCAUAAGUAGGCGAAACGGACAGCCCAUCUCCCCAGACCGCCUGCCUCUUCACUAGCUCAGGCAUAUGCUGACCGGAGACGCCGCUCAACCUGCAGCGCCACGGUACAGAGGCCAGCAGGACAGCUCCCCGCUCUCCAGUUCCGGCGUGGUCCAGAUCAAUGCUGCAUGAACACUGCAAGGACGGUCAAUCAGAUUGUCGCAAAUGAGUACAUCCGCUGCCAUAGGAGCGAGAUCAUGAACGCUGCACAGUAUGCAUAGAUGGAGUGAAACAGGGUAAAUCUGGAGGCCACUUACCUUGGAAGGCGGUGGCAAGUCUUGAUGAAUUCAUGUUCAUGGUGUCCACAUGAGCCACCGUUCCGUCAAGUGCUUUGCCGCGUGCGCCAUGAAGCAGACACCAACACAGUGGGCCUUUGGGAACCGCGUCACCACUGAAAAAAACAGCAGGACAUUCAGUCUUCACAGCAUUGUGAUCUGUUAGAGAAGACAGUGGGCUUGGGUCCUUUUCAGUGUUAUAUAGUAGUAGGAAUGGGAAGAAAUUUGAACUACAAACAUUGAAAGGAAAUUAACCAGUUUCAGUUUCAGUACAAUCCGUCGUCUCUCGCCGCAUUCAGUACUGAAAGCUAGAGCAAACCAACAAAUCUAGUACACCUGUGCACGCAUAUACCAAGCAUGUAUUGACAGGCGCUCUGCAUUGAAGGUGGCGCUUUGAGAAAUUCUAGAAGUUGGGCAUGAUCAAGCUGAGGCCUAGAUCUAUCAAUCAAUUCCGUAGGAUACAAUGAGAAUGUGACACAACUCAAUCAUGUGCUGCAGAGCUUGGGGCAUCUGUCUGGUCCAGUCGCAGGAGAUGGUCACCACAUAGAUGCCUCUUUAAUACAACCAUCUUAUAAAUGUUCAAAUACUGCCACAGCUACUUCUUAUAAAUGGCAUAACUAGAUGUUUAUUCAUAUGUUGAUUUGUGCUCAACAACCAUGAAUCUUACAUUCUUAUUGAUUAUUUAUAUGUUAAUUUGUGCUCAACAACCAUGAAUCUUACAUUCUUAUUGAUGUGGAAGAAUCCUAAUAGCUAGAAAAUGUGAAGACUAAGAAAGUACACAUAGAAAGGGUAACAAAAAACUCAUGAGAGAAAUGAGCAGUGCUUACCUCUCAGGGCUACAACAUUUGAUGAGAGAACAAAUGUUUCGACAAUGAAUAUAGCAGAUGAUGGGAACUCCCAAACCUGCAAAUUCAGUAAUCAGCUAGAAAGAAAACAUUUGAUAGAUAAAUUCACAGGAAAUCGUCGACAUAAGAUUCUUCUAUACCAUCAUUGUCAGAAGAAAUAACUUGAAAUAGCUUGAAAUGAUGACGGCUAACAGAAUCUCUCGAUACCUGAGUAAUGAAGAAUGCAACAGUGAGCCAAGUAUAACACACAGAUGUAGAACUAUGACAUGAUUUAACCCUCUUUUUGUCAUACGAAAACUGUAGGGGAGGCCCAACAGUAAACUCUUAUAUGAUCUCAUCCUCUUCGAAGAUAGAAAUGUACUACUAUUACAGAAUUCCUACUGGAUAAAUGAUACUCCCUCUGUAAACUAAUAUAAGAGCGUUUAGAUCACUAAAGUAGUGAUCUAAACACUCUUAUAUUAGUUUACGGAGGGAGUACAUUGACAACACUUCACACAGAAUGAAAUAACAACAGGUGUAUUUACUAGGAACGAUAAUUUUAUUAUGAGAACUGAAAAGUACCACCUCAGAGGUAUUCAGAUAUUUUAAAAAGGAUACACGCAUACAACGAUACCUUGUAAUGUCAAAAGAAAAUUUGAGGAUAUAUCGUACUCCCAGGAGUAACAUGGCCGUAAAUAUGAUGUUCCCUAACAAUGCAUCACCCAGAACCUGAAGAAAAGCAGAACACCCAAUACACUGCUUAGUUGAUGAGAAGUGGAAACAUUUGUUAUCUGAAUGCAGUCAACUUUAAUCACCUCGCUGCAAUUGCAAAUUGUGGACAAUGUGCUCCAGGAAGAAUCCCCAUCAACUUUGUUGCUUUUUGAAACUGAUAUUCUGACUACAUAGUUAUGGGCAGCUUAGGUUGAAUGUUGGAAACUACCAGAAUUAAAAUAAAAAAUUUAUAAAUGAAAAUGGAUACAAGCGUCAAGAACGAUAUGCAUCAGAAUGAACUGGCACAGUAUUCCCUGCAAACAAAACCAAAACAAGAGACAUAAGAGAAAAGGCAUAUUUGGACUUGGCCACUGAAUAUAGUUGCGGAAGGCAGAAAGCAACAUAGUAUGACUUAUGAGUGAGGAAAAAGUAUACGAAGGCAGAAAUUAUUACAAUAUGAGUGCCAAGAUGAAGUUUGAACUUAGAUGAAUUAUGAAUAGAUAACUAUAUUUUCCAUGUCAUCAGAUUAUAUGCUCUUGUUGGAUGGACUGCCAAGGCAUAAAAGGCUGAAGGUGUCGUAUGAUACAGGAACAAUAUUAACAAGAAAAAUAACAGGCAGAUCUAGGACAGAUGAAACUUCAAAUUCUCAAGCAUCGGGACUCAUAGGAAGUAUUGAGUAAAUCAUGAAACUAGGAAAGUGUUGAUGAUGAUAAAUUGGUAACUGUUAUCACCCUUUGUUGAGUAAAAUGAGUAAAGUAUAUAUGGCAAAUGAAGUACUUGUGAUAUUAAUGCAAAAGAGGAGCAGAUUUAUGAUAGAUGAAACUUCAAAUUCUCAAGCAUCAGGACUCAUAGGAAGUAUAGAGUAAAUUGUAAAACUAUAGGAAAGUAGUGAUGGUGCUAAAUUGCUAAUUGUUAUCACCCUUUGCUGCUUCAAAGUAGAUAUGGAAAAUGAAAUACUUGUGCUAUUAAUGCAAAAGAGGAGCAUCCAAGCAAUUCAGCUUCCAUAUUUAGAUAGAGUACACACUGAGUAAACUGCAUAGUUUAACUCAAAUGAUGAUAGCAACAAAAAGCAUCACAUCUAUAACUUAACUGCUCUACAUGCUUAUAGCAUUAGUAUCUAUUAAAAGCUCAGGAAAAAAGAAAUAUGUGGCGCAGAACGUUUUACGAGCUGAGUCGGCCUUAGGGAGUUUGAAAAGGCGGAACAGCACUUGUUUGAGGUUGCAUGGUACCAUAAGAUUCGCACCUUGUCAAUAGAUGAACCAAUGUGCAGCUUAUUGAACAGUAGAUGUCGGUAUGCCCUGGUCUUGUGUAGAAUCAGAUCGAUCAAGAUAAUCUACAGCGGGGUAAGAAGAGUAAGAGUUAAGGCCACGCAGCGCAUCAGGCAUGCAAUAAAUAGGUGUCCCGGGCAUAGGAAAACGGCCCAAUAAGGAUGCAAGCGGCGCACACGCAUAAGCCGCCAAAUUGAUCAGCCACUAUAAAGUGAGCUAACCCCAUCAAAACUAAAGCUGCAACUGAUUUGGCCGAUUUAGGACUACAUAAGCAGCGCGCCACUUGCACCCCUACUGUCAAAUCACACAUAUGGCAACAGUUUGAACCCAUGCACCAUUGAUCAUCAUACCAUACCAUACCAUGAAUUCACACUCGAUGUAGGGAUCGGCGACAGCCUUGCAGACAUCCUGCACACGAACAGCAUCCAGGGUUAAAGCCGGCUUGCACGCAGGAGGCAAAAGGGCGACGCUGACGAUGCGGCGGGAGGGGGCUGGGCUCUUACGCAUUUCAUCAAACGGAUGUUGCCUGCGGAGUACUGCACGAAGAGCGUCCUCACGCGCCGGCCGCAGCCGACGCAGCGCGGCGCCUCCCCUUCCGCCCCGUCGUCCCCCAUCACGCCGAACCCGUCCGCGCGAGCUCUGGAGACAUCCAAUCACAAUUACAGCGAGAGCCGGGGACGACGGGAGUGGAGGCGGAUCUAGGACGAGGAGAAAGUCGCCGGGGGUAAAACAGCGUGGCGUACCUGCAGCGCGCAGUGGGGGCAGGAGCCGCAGCUCGUAGGCGGCGACGGCGGCGGCGAGCAGAGCGGCGCUCGGAGGGGGAGAGGCGUGGCCGGCGGCGUCAGUGAGAAGCAGAGUGUGCUGCCGUCGUCCAACUGCGGAAUGCAAUCGAUGAGCGGCCGGUGGCGAUGCCAGGCAGCCUGGUGGGCUGGCCAGCAACAGAGCCCGAUUUGUUUUCUAAGAUGGGCCGUAAUAGCCCAGACGGGCCUGGGUCUAGGGCUGGGCUGGGUUGGGCCGGCCGGCCGACGGGUCCUACCUGGGCACGCGGAGAAGAUACUAGUCUCGGGUCGUUGGGUUUCGGUUCUGGUGUCUCCGACCUGCUCCGUCUCCGCCUCCGCCUCCGGCAUCGGCACGGUGUCCUAAGGCGACGAGAUCGCCGUGAGAUCCAGAGCCGCCGCCUGCGCCGCAGACGAAUCCACUAGCGCGUCACUGCCUUCCGGCCCCCCUUCCCGGUGAGCAACUCAUCUCGCCCGCCCGUUCCUUCCGUCCGAUCUGGGGGAGGGUUGCCAUCAGCCGGCUUAAAUCCGACGGAGCUUGCCUCCUGCCCUCGCGCCCCGCGGCCGAGUCGUCGGGGCCUCUCCGCCGGACGCUUCGUAGGGGAGAAUUUGGUACCGGUCUGUUGUAUAUUUGAAGAAUCGCCGUCUUCUUAGGACUAGGAGUGCUUGUUCAUGGAGAAUUCCCGUCAAAUCUGGAGUCUUCCGCUAGAUUUUGUGCUGCCGCUUGCUGUGGCGUCUGACUGAGGUUGGUAUGCUUUUGUGCCACAGCUGCAAAGAUGGGGAGGAUACCGUCUCUGAAGAACUUCAAUGCGUUCCCGCACGCCGAAGACCACCUGCUGAAGAAGACUUACUCGGGUGCUAUAGGUACAUAGAUUAUGCUGCUUCGUGAACUGUUGUUCUCUGCUAAUGGAUGCUUAUGUUUUUGGAGAUUUGUGUUUAAUUCGCGUCAUCGUUGAUAUAUGUUGGCAGUGACGAUUCUCGGGCUAAUUGUUAUGGUUACACUUUUCGCGCAUGAGCUCACGUUUUACCUUACAACCUAUACGAUGCAUCAGGUACGUUUCGUUCUCGUUGACCUUUUCUUGUAUGACUAGCAUAUGCAGCUUAUUGUGAUGUCUAUGCUGUUCUGUCCAUUCUUCCCCAACAUUUAUGAUUGUAGUUUGUGUUGGGAAUAUGCCUGUGGAUGAUAGAUAUUUCUCCUGUUUAAGUUUAUUCACUUCGACAUACAAAACCAAUCUGGCCAAGGAAUUCUCAUGAUGACAAAGGAUGCCUAUGAAUCGAACCGAUCAAUUACAUUUAUAUAAAAUAAUUUGGUAGUUGUUAUUUUCAUAUCAUGGAAAACUCAUUUGAACAUGAUAGUUUUAUUUGCUUUGUUUUGGCUACCAGCAUUAAGAUCAUGAACCUGUCUCAAGUUUUUCUUUUCAAUGUCUGCAGAUGUCUGUAGAUCUGAAACGAGGAGAAACUCUACCAAUUCAUAUAAAUGUAUCAUUUCCUUCUUUACCAUGUGAAGGUCAGUUAUUGAUAAAUAUAUCCAGUAUCAGUUUUUUGUACAAGGUUCCAUUUGGAGAUCCCUUUGCUUAAGGUUCAUGCUUUUGAUAUUUAUUUCACUAUCUUCUGUUGUCAUACAGUCUUGAGUGUGGAUGCAAUCGACAUGUCCGGCAAACAUGAGGUUGACUUGCAUACAAAUAUUUGGAAGGUACCAUCUGAUAUCAAAAUUUUGUUAAUUUCAGUGGAUGCAAUUCAAUAUGGUAUCGGAUGCAUAUGCAUGUAUGCUCUACUAUGACACUAGCUGCAGUAAUAAUUAAUAGUUAUGUCUAUUGCUUGUGAUUGAGAAACAUUAUGUAAAUGCACAUUCCUAGUUUCCUACCAUCCGCGAAGCAGGCCCAUACGCUAGCUUAUUUUGGCCAGUUGUUUUCCUAGGUUAGUGUAGGUUGCAGGGAACAUGCACUUUAAGCUGUGGUUCAUGUCUUGCUCUUGUGCUGACAAUGUUCUUCAUACUUCCAAAUAUAUUUUCUCAGUAAAGUUGCAUUGUAGUUUCUUUAAAUGGUGCAUUUUUUAACUAUUCAGUAUAUGUCUGUCAUGUCUAAUUAUACUUUGCAUCCUCCUUUUUCUGAUGUAUGCAGCUUCGUUUGGAUAAGUAUGGCCAUAUCAUUGGUACUGAGUACUUGUCUGAUCUAGUUGAAAAGGAGCAUGGAACUCAUGAUCAUGGUAUAUUCUGUUUCCUCUAUAAAAGGAAAACCAAACGUAGCACUAGUACUAAGUUGUCAUACAAAAGAGUCUCCUUUUCAAUCCAUAUUAUGCGUCCUUUUUCCUCACUAUAUAAAAACCGUGGCGGCUGCUAAUCGUUAUUUUCUGUUAUAGUUAUUAUCCUUUGUAUUAUAAUUUGGAAGUACUACCUCUGAAAAGAAAUAUAAGACUUUUUAUAGGUCACUAAAGUAUAUAAUUGAAAUGGAAGAAUGGAUUAUCGCUCACCAGUCUUGUUUAUGAUGAAAAAAUGUCAAUACAACAACAUUGAUUAAUUUGAUCGGCAAACAUGUUGUGUAGUUAGAAAUUUUAUUUGUUGCCAACACAUGAUUUAACUAGAAGCCUAGAAUAUUCGAUGUGUGCUGGAAGAAACCCAAACAUGGGAAUAGUAGUAUCUCUGUAUAGUUCUGGGCUUUGCCGCUAUACUGUACACAUGACCAUGUACUGGAAAGAUCAAAGAUAUACCAACAAAUGGAGAAAUGAUUUCUGCAAUGAUCUCUCUCUCUCAGGUUAUCAUUGGUAGAACUAGGGCAUCAGACAUAGUUUCACACAGGACCAAAAUGAGCAGUCAACUGUGUCCUGUACUUAGUAGUUGCAGCUUGUCGGCUUACUUCUUUGUUCAUUCCGAUUUUGAUAAAAUCACAAAGCUAAUUGCUUUCUAGAUUAUUAAAUAAGUACUUCCUGGGUUUUAUGCGUUCUCAAUGUGGUAGGUGUUGUUCUUUUUUCCUUCUGGAAAAUUGGCUUGUUGUAAGAUUAUUUUUGUGUUUAGUUGUUCUGCAUGUAAUAUGCUGAUGCAUUAAAGUUUAAAUCAGACCAUGGCCAUGAGCAUGAUGUAGAAAAGAAGCCUGAGCACACCUUCAACGAAGAUGCAGAUAAAAUGAUUAAGAGUGUCAAACUUGCAAUGGAAAAUGGUGAAGGAUGCCGAGUAAGUUUUUUCUCCACCAGUAUUAGUUCAUUUUACUAAUGAUAUUAGUGCUGUGGUCAUCAAGUAUAUUCUGGUGUUUUUAACGAGUUUUUGGCUUCAAACUUUACAGGUGUAUGGUGCUUUGGACGUGCAGAGGGUUGCUGGCAACUUCCAUAUAUCGGUGCAUGGUUUAAAUAUUUUUGUUGCAAAUCAGGUUAUUCAUCUAAAACUGCAGAUACUUUAGUGCUGUUCUUCAAACUGUAUAUUUUCUGUUGUGAAGUAUUUAAGCUUUUAGGAAACUAGCUAAUUCGUAAUGUAUGAAACUGAGACAAUUACUUACAUUUUCUUCAUAAGGUAUCAUUUAAGUUUUUAAUUGAGCAUAUAUCCGAACUGUGGCUAGGUAUAGUCAUAUAGGGAAUUAGGCAUCUAAAUCCCUACAGAAAUCACUGAAACAGGGCGUUCUCAAUCUCAUGGUAAUUUUGCCAGUGGCAUCAUAUGGUAUUUCACAUGGGCCUUUCAUUGGUAUAUUCUGAUGAUAAGUUAGAAUGGAUCGAUUUUCCUUGAGGUCUGUUUACAUUUCUUUAUGUAAGUGAUUUUUCUUCUAAUGAAACAAAUCGUUGUUGUUCAUUUUGAUCUUUAAAUGUUCACACACGGUCUUUGUUUUCUUCUCUUAAGUCUUGGUGCUGAGAAUGCUCUCCCUGUGCUUUCUGUAUAUAUUCUUGAAUCUUUUCAUUGCACUGUCCUUCAGCUUCCAGCUGAUCAUUUCCUAUAGAUGAUUUUUAUUCAUCUGGUGCAUGCAGAUUUUUGAUGGGUCAAGCCAUGUCAAUGUUAGCCAUGUUAUCCAUCGACUGUCCUUUGGUCCAGAAUACCCUGGAAUUCAUAAUCCACUUGAUGAUACUUCAAGGAUACUGCACGACACAAGUGGGACAUUCAAAUACUAUAUCAAGGUUAGUAGCCAUUCAUUCAGUAGUUUCCCCAUUGUUGUCAAUAAUGUUCAGACGGCAGCUUGUGGUUGCAACAUUUAGGGGAAAUAAUAAAUAAGGCCCCUGCUGAAGAGAAUAUAUCGAUGAAAUAAAAUUGUACAAAUAUCCUUUUUAUGCGAAGUCAUCAGCAGGCCAAAAGGAAGUCUUCCUUUUUCCUGUCAACCUAUAUGAAGUUGGUUGACUGGAUCUGAUUUGUGCACCAGAUCAACGAAAAGAUCAUCUGCACCCCAGAUGGAAAUCUAACACUUGAUAUUCUCUGCAAUCAGUUGCUUUUUGUGGGAGACAAUGUUGCCAUCUGUUAUUCAUAUUUGAUUGAUAUAUGCAGGUUGUUCCAACCGAGUACAGAUACCUCUCAAAGGGAGUGUUGCCAACAAAUCAGUUUUCCGUGACAGAGUAUUUUGUUCCCAUUCGCCCAACUGAUAGGUCCUGGCCAGGUAACCCCCCUCCCCAUCUUGCUCUCGAAGUAUGGUAUGCUCAUCUGGUUUUAGGCCUAAUCUGUUUUCCUUUUGCAGCCGUUUACUUCCUGUAUGAUCUCUCACCAAUCACAGUCACCAUCAGAGAAGAAAGACGUAACUUCCUACAUUUCAUAACUCGCCUUUGUGCAGUUCUUGGGGGUACAUUUGCAAUGACAGGUUUGCAUCCAGCACUACAUGAUUGUGCUUUUUAUCUUAUGCUGGUGUUAGGAUUGGCUUCAGUAAUACUUCUGUCGCAUGAUUUUCCGAGUUGCACACACGAUGAUCUGCACGUUACAUGAACAAACAGCAAAAUUGGCAAAAUCUAGAGUGGCAAAAACAAAGUUUUCCCUUCUUCUAAUUGGCAUCGACUUUUCUGCCUUCGUGGUACAGGAAUGCUUGACCGGUGGAUGUACAGGAUCAUCGAGUCUAUCUCGAGCUCAAAACCUAGAAGUGGGAUGCGGUAACCGGGCAUCCCAUGCCGAAGGAGGCUACUAGCCAGCCUGGUGACCAGUCAAGUCAGUCGUCGACGAUGUUGUUGUCUCAACCAAGUGAUCAAAGCACGGUCACCCCCCUGCGGGCUUUCAUGUUUUGUCCAGUCCAUGCAUCUAUAACUUAAAAGAUAUGGUUUUAGUCUUAUGAUUAAUCAUGUUAGAUUGGCACUAGUGGCAAGUAUACAGUUUUGUUAUGAAUGAUGCAACGGGAGGCGCCAACGAUGUCAUGUAGCUUGUACUUACCAUGGAAAAAAGCAUAUCCUCAGUAUGACAGUAUGACAAAUAGCAUUAAAUCAACUUUGAAAGGGAAUUAAAAGCGUAAACGUUGGAGCUGUAUUGCUGUGUACUGACUGCAUAAUCUGUUAGCAUCGGGGUGCGCUUGGUGGUUGGUCUAGGUCAAGUGGUUUUUGUUUCAUUGUGUAACACUAACACCCUGGCCUGAAUCCGCUUGAUGCCCAAGUCCAACCCAUCCGAGCGAAUACCACAUGGAACGCCCUCUCUUCAUUUGCUCAAAGUCCAACCCAUCUGUGGGUGGUACAUAGUAUCUGUAUUAAACUUCCGUUUUCGCUUGUAGAAGGGUCGACUUGGAGAUCCUACUCCCUCUGAUUGGGUUUAUAAGUUUGACACACGAUUUUAGGUCUUCAAUUUGACUACAAAACAUGUUUUAUAUUUUAUGAAAAAUAUAUCUUUAGAUUCAUCGUCAAAUGAAAUUUCUAGCCAUAGAAUUUUUGUGGCUUAUCAUACAUAUUUUUAUAUUAGUCAAAUCGAAGACAUAAAACCCAUUGCUUGACCUAUCUAAACCCAAAAGGAGGGAGUGUGUGACAGGCCCUAGAGGUGGCUGUCGCUGAAUUUCUCACAUGAACAGAGGAAAACAGACAAUUUGUGUGGAAUUUUGAGAUCGAUUCGUUCAGAUCUGAAGCAAGGUAGCUAGGAUUUUGGCCAGCCGGAACACGGCGGCUACAAGGGCCAAGCCCGGAAUAAUCCCGAAUGCCCUCUCCACAAGCCGGAUGAGGGUUUAUAAAGAGAAAUUCAGAGCAAAAGUAGAAAGCGACAUGUUCGACAGGUAAAAGUAAACGCGGUAACUUUUAAAAGUAAGUUAUAAUGAUCUGAGCCAUCCAGAUGGAGAUCAACGGUUGAGGGUGCCUCUCAGCAGCGAAGCGGUAAGUUCUUCCAAUCGCCGUUGGAUCGCAAUUCGACGGCUGACACGCAUCCAGGCAAAACGCAAAGGCACUGUGCCUCGUCAGGUGACCCGCAACAGUUAACAGGCCUGACAAUUGCCCCCGUCUAACAACAGACUUGCCCUCAAGGAUGGAAUUCAGGGAAGAUCUUCUGAAUGAAAGCCGCAUCUUCCCAGGUUGCAUUUUCCACUGGCAGAUUGAUCCACUUGAUACGCCACUGCACCACUGGAAUGCUAAUGUCUCCCUGGACUUGUGGAAUCAGUCUUCUUUCAAGCAGUGCUUCAAGCUGAAUGAGAAUGUGACCCUGUUCAUCCAGGAGUGGCAACUUGGGGUUAGGUACAGCUUCAGGGCCAAUGUGCUUCUUGAGUUGGCUGACAUGAAAAGUGGGGUGAAGUUGACAGCCCUCAGGCAGGAGGAGCCGAUAAGCCACAGCUCCAAUUCUCUCCAUUACUCUAAAAGGGCCAUAGUACUUGGAAUGAAGUUUUAGAUGUAUGUGUAUACUCAAGCUGGUGUGCCUAUAUGGUUGCAAUUUGAUAUAAACCAUGUCCCCAACUGCAAGUUGUCUCUCAGAUAUCUUCUUGUCUGCAAAAACUUCAUUCUUUCUUGUGCUUUGAGCAAGUUGUCCUUAAUUUGUUGGGCAAUUAUAUCCCUGUCCAGUUGAGCUUGGUGAUCUUCUCCUUCCACUGGUGGUAACAUCAAUUAUGCAAUCAGGGGAGGAGGUCUUGCAUACAGAGCUUGAAAAGGGGUCAUUUUAAGAUAUGUGUGGAAUGUGGUGUUGUACCACCAUUCAGCCAUGGAAAGCCAAGUAUGCCAUUUCUUGGGAUGUGAAAAAGUCAUGCAUCUUAAGUAGUUUUCCAGACACUGGUUCACUCUCUCUGUUUGACCAUCUGAUUGGGGUUGGUAGGAAGUACUCAUGUGUAAUUUGACUCCCAUUUUGUUGAACAAAUGCUGCCAGAGAUGAAUAGUAAAUAUGCUAUCUCUGUCUGUCACUAUGACAAUGGGCAGGCCAUGUAAUCCGAAUAUGUUGUCAGUGAAAGCUUGUGCUACUGUCUUUACAGUAAUGGGGUGUCUCAUAGCAAAAAAAUGAGCAUAUUUGGUGAAACGAUCAACCACCACUAGGAUCAUGUCCUCGUGUUCAGAUUUGGGCAACCCUUCCACAAAGUCCAUGCUAAUCUGGGUCCAAGCAAAAUCUGGAACUGGAAGUGGUUGUAACAAGCCAGGAGGAUGCACAUGUUGAGCUUUGUUCAGCUGACAGACAGGGCAUUGCUGAACAAAAGUUUGCACAGCUUUCCUCAUUCCAGGCCAUGUGAAGAGGAUUUUCAAUCUGUGAUAAGUUGCUCUUUCCCAGAGUGUCCUCCUAUUCAGACUUGUGAAAAGAAGUGAGCAAGGAAUUUUUCAGUGCAUUGUUGUUGCCAAUCAUGAUUUCCCCCUUAUACCUGAGCACUCCACUGGUAAGAGUGUAUGGAGGCUGGGCAGCUGGAUCUAUUGCUAGUUUAGCAAUUAAAUCAGAACAUUUAGUGUCACCCUUGUAAUUGUUCAAAACUUCAGUAAUCCAAGAUGGAAUUGCAGUACUAGAGCCCAAAGCAUUUAGAGCAUAUUUAACUCUGGAAAGAGCAUCGGCUACUCUAUUUUCCUUGCCUUUCUUGUAUUCCACUUUGAAUUUGUAACCCAUUAAUUUAAUGAGAAGUUUGUGCUAGAUCCCUUCAGUUACUUUUUGCUCUUGUAUGUAUUUCAAACUCUGUUGGUUAGUUCUGAUAAUCAGAGAGGAUGAAGCAAAGUAAUGUCUCCAUUUCUUAAUUGCUUCAAUGAUUGCCAGUGCCUCUUUAUCACAGGUGGACCAGCCAGCAGCUUUAGGGCCUAGGGCUUUGCUCAUAUAUGCAAUAGGUUGUCCUUUUUGCAUUAGUACCGCUCCAAUUCCAUAUCCAGAAGCAUCAGCUUCUAAAACAAAGGGCAAGGAAAAAUCAGGUAAAGCAAGGACUGGGGCAGAAGUCAUUCUGUCCUUUAAUUGCUGGAAAGCAGCCAUUUGUGUGUUAGUCCAUUGAAAUCCUUCCUUUUUCAAUGCUUCAAACAGUGGCUUGCAAAUCAGUCCAUAAUUCUGAACAAACCUCCUGUAGUACCCAGCUAAUCCCAAAAAACUUCUCAAGUGUGUCACAUUCUGAGGUGUUGGCCAGUUUAUGAUUGCUUCUACUGUACCAGGGUCUGUGGAUACUCCCUUGUCAGUGAUCACAUAUCCCAAAUACUCCACUUUGUUUUGUGCAAAUGUGCACUUAGAGAGCUUUGCAUAUAAUUGAUGUUUCCUGAGUGCUUCCAAUACCAGGGCCACAUGUUCCAAAUGUUCCUUGUAUGUUUUACUAAAGAUGAGGAUAUCAUCAAAGAAAACUAGCACACAGUGUCUCAGAAGGGGCCCCAAUACAGUAUGCAUAAGUUCCGUAAAGGUAGGAAGGCCAUUUGUCACUCCAAAGGGCAUUACCAGGAACUCAAACAGACCAAUGUGUGUUCUAAAAGCAGUUUUCUCUAUAUCUCCUUCUUUCAUUCUGAUUUGAUGAUAACCACUUCUGACGUCCAGUUUGGUGAAGAUUUUUGCUCCAUUAAGUUCAUCCAGAAGAUCCUCUAUCAUGGGUAUAGGAUACUUGUUCUUGAUUGUGUGUGCAUUAAGUUUUCUAUAGUCAAUGCAUAACCUCCAAGUCAGGUCCUUUUUCUUCACCAAGAUAGCAGGAGGGGAGUAUGGACUGUGACUUAAUCUUAUAAUCCCUUUUUGGAGAAGGUAUUUAAUGAUUUCCUCUAAAGCAUUUUUCUGGUGAUGUGGCAACCUGUAUCCUCUCUGAUUUAGAACUGAGCUCCAGGUUCUAGGUUGAUUGCAUGGUCACAAUCUCUCUGAGGAGGUAGACCAGUAGGCUCUGCAAAAUCAUCUUUGAAGUUCUCUAGGAUUGUAGUUAUUCCAGGUUUUUGCACAGAGUCAUUUAUGGUUUCCACUUGCACUAGUUGCAUCCACAUUAGAGCUCCAGUGAGCAUGUCAUCCAAUAUAUUUUCCAUAUCUUGCAGCAGAGGAGUGCAGGGGCUGGUUGGCAAGCUCUCAUCCAGGAAGGUGAUCUGUUUUCCAUUGGGUUGUUUGAUUCCCAACUUCAUGUUAGGCAAAUCAAAUGUGACAGGGCUGUGCUUAUACAUCCAGUCAGCUCCAAGUAUGAUAUCAUAUCUAGUGAGUUUCAACAUCCUAAAAUCAGACACCAAUUCCACUCCUUGGAUGUUGUAUUUGGUGUUGUAGAGAGAAAAAUCACUGUAUAAUUUGCCCCCAUUUGCUACAGUCACUUGAACUUGUUUUACUAGUGUGGCAGGGCAUCCAGAUUGGAAAGCUAGAGCAGGGGAAAUGAAAGUAGUAGUGCUUCCACUAUCCACUAAAGCAAGGCCCACUAUAUUUCCAAUUUGGACUUGUAGAGUAACAGUGUGUGUUUUUUAUCUUCAGGAACUCCUGUAGCUACAUGCAUUAAAAUUUUGAGCUCUUGGUUAUCAGGGGUUUCUUCAUCCACAUCUGAUUGUACCUACUCUGCAUCUACUAUGUAGAUAAUGUCAGGAUUUUCAACUUGCCCUUGCAGUGCUUGAAUUUGAGCUUUUUGUGACAUCUUGCACACCUGCUUGUGCCCUGGGAACCAUGGUUCUCUGCAUUUAUAACAAAUGCCCUUUUCUCUAGCUUGUUGUAGAACAGCAGCAGGAGAUGUACUUGCAGAAAUUACAGGUUUAGAAAUUUCCCCUGGAGUUCCUCUUCUGUAGUUUGGCACAUAGGGAUUUUGUGUAGUAGCAGGAGGACAAGAUUUUUCAAUUCUUCUAGCUAACCACAUAGCUUUGGUCAUGUCAGUAGGUUCUAAACAUUCCAGGUGACUUUGGAUAUAAGGGUUUAGAUCUGCAAUGAAACUAUGCAUGUAGUAGUCAUCUGGUACUGCAGGAUUGUCCCUCCUCAUUAAGUUCAUAUGUUGCUCAAACUCUACCAUAUACUGAGCAACUGAAGUUUGCUGAGUUAACUUGUGGAAUGCUUUCACAUUUUCACACAUAGAUGUUAUUGCAAAUCUUUGUGUGAUUGCAGUGCAGAACUUGUGCCAAGGAGUAUGACAAGCAAUGAACCCAAUACCUCUCCACCAUUGUAUAGCUUCUCCUUUUAAAUAAGAAACUGCUAUCUCAGUUCUUUGCUCAAUGGGAGUUCUUGCAGCUGAAAAAUAUUGUUCAAUGUUCUGUAUCCAUGAGUCUGCAUCUACUCCAUCAAAUUCAGCAAUGUUUAACUUUGCGGGUUUGAUACACAGGAGGUUUCUUCUGACUUCAGAUGUAUAAGGUUUGUUUCUUUCCCUUCUAACCUCUGCUUCAGGUAGUUCCUCCACUGUCAUGAAGUGUUUUGUGACCAGACCUUGUUGUUGUUGAGGAGUGUGGAAUUCCUGCUUGUUAGCAGUAUGACUUGGGUGUCUAUAGGGACCCUUUGGAGUGCCAUCCAUAUUCAGUUCUUUGCCCAUUGCUUUGUCCACCAGAACAGCCGAUCCCACAGUUGCAGGGUCAUGUUUUUCAGUGGGAAAUUGAUUGUUAGGCAGUUGCUUUGGCCUCCCUGGAGGAACAGCAGUGCUUCCCUGCCCUGAUAACGGGUCAGGCCUUUCUUCCUCCUCAUCUUCUUCCACUGACUGUUCUGCAGUUAACUUCAGCAAGGUGGUUUGAAUUUUCUUGAAAUUCUUCUGUAUGCUGGCAAAGUUCUUGUUCACUGAAUCUGUGAAAUGAUAAAAUUCCUUUCUAUCUUCCUCUCAUUCUUGCCGGAGUGUUUUGAUGUCAAGUUGCAGAGAUUCGAGCUCCAAACACUCAGUAUCUUGCGUCUCACCUGCCAUUUCGUCAGGGUUUUUGUUGGUCAUUACUUGUAGAUCCGGUCCAAGGACGAAUUAGCGAGGGAAACGAAAGGAAUUUUACACCGGUCACCCGGCAACCAAUCGCCCAUCAGUUCGUAGGAGAACCGCGUCGCCGGAGCAAACAUCACUGAAAGGGAGGGUUGGGUGGGAUUUUGCACUGAAGAAUUUUUCUUCAGAAACCACUACUCCACCUUUCUGCUGCCGAUCUAUCCACCGCCGCCACACCAGAUCGGAUCCCAGAUUGGAUCUGGGGCUCAAUUCUCGCCUCCAAGGACUACAACCUACGCUUUGUAUACCACUUGGCAGGCCCUAGAGGUGGCUAUCACUGAAUUUCUCACAUGAACAGAGGAAAACAGACAAUUUGUGGGGAAUUUUGAGAUCGAUUCGUUCAGAUAUGAAGCAAGGUAGCUAGGGUUUUCGCCAGCCGGAACACGGCGGCUACAAGGGCCAAGCCUAGAAUAAUUCUGAAUGCCCUCUCCACAAGCCGGAGGAGGGUUUAUAAAGAGAAAUUCAGAGCAAAAGUAGAAAAGCGACAUGUUCGACAGGUAAAAGUAAACGCGGUAACUUUUAAAAGUAAGUUACAAUGAUCUGAGCCGUCUAGAUGGAGAUCAACAGUUGAGGGCGCCUCUCAGCAGCGAAGCGGUAAGUUCUUCCAAUCGCCGUUGGAUCGCAAUUCGACGGCUGACACGCAUCCAGGCAAAACGCAAAGGCACUGUGCCUCGUCAGGUGACCCGCAACAGUUAACAGGCCUGACAGUGUGUUUGGAUCACAAGGGCAUAUAUACGCUGGUCAAACUCUCUUCCUCUGAUUCUCCAUGCGGGAUCAAACCCAUCACACAACUCCACUUGAGCCACGUGGGCACCCCCACCUUGAUGAUUAGCGACUCAACAGAUUAUAAGUAAUAAAAUCAUGUCAUUCGUCGAACAUCCAGUUUGUACCUUAUUUCACCACUGAUUUACCAUCAUAUCAAGCUAUGGCGGAUCCAAGAUUUCAUGCUUGGGUGUUCAAAAAAAAUUGUGGGUUUAAUUUUUUUGAUCUAAUAUCUAAAAUGUUCAUGCAUCGGUGACUUAAUUCUUCAUCAAAAUGACAAUACCUUAUAGAAAUGACGAAAGAAAUACAGAGUAUUUACUACAUAAUCAUACAUUUGGGGAUCACAUAGCCAUUAUUAUACAAUGCAUCUAAAUACAAUGAGCAAGAAGAAUGCUAAUUGCCGGUGCAAACUAAGGCAUAGCCUAGUGAUGGAAAGGGAUCGAUGCCUUCCCACCUUCAAUGCAUGGUACUUGUAAUUUGGGUUUAUUGCACCAAUUAAACUCCCUUACAAUCUUUUUGUCAAUUUUUUUAUAUGUGCUGGUGACAUGCGUAGGUGUAGGCUGUUGUGUAACUCGUGCUAUAGGUAACAGCCGUGAUGCCAUGGCACUAGCGAAAAAGGUCAUUUGGGGGCUCAAAGUCUUAAAGUAUACACUAUGUAUAAAAGUUUCUAGCCAAAUUUUUUUAGUGUACAUCUGUACACCCAUGACCAACUGCGGAUCUACCCCUGACAUCAAGACAUAUAUCCACACUAAAACAAUCAUCAGACAGUUUUAUCUGUCUUCCGCACUUAAAUCCUUGAGGUUCAUGAUCUACAACUUCACACACAUUUGCAACACCACCUUGUUUCGUACUCGUGCCCUUUGUGAGCUCGUAUUUACAAUCAUAUUCACCAGAUAAUGUUGAUGCUUUCUGCGCAGGUGCCAUUGUCUCAGCAUUAUGAUGAAAUAUCACGGUGUUGUGUUGUGGAUGUCAUUGUCCUCAAGGCCGGGCUAUAUGCUGCANNNNNNNNNNNNNNNNNNNNNNNNNNNNNNNNNNNNNNNNNNNNNNNNNNNNNNNNNNNNNNNNNNNNNNNNNNNNNNNNNNNNNNNNNNNNNNNNNNNNNNNNNNNNNNNNNNNNNNNNNNNNNNNNNNNNNNNNNNNNNNNNNNNNNNNNNNNNNNNNNNNNNNNNNNNNNNNNNNNNNNNNNNNNNNNNNNNNNNNNNNNNNNNNNNNNNNNNNNNNNNNNNNNNNNNNNNNNNNNNNNNNNNNNNNNNNNNNNNNNNNNNNNNNNNNNNNNNNNNNNNNNNNNNNNNNNNNNNNNNGGGAGCAAACCCACCACCCCAACUCCACUUGAGCCACACAGGCAUCCGCAUAACCCACAUUUGAUGGCUAGCAACACAACAUAUAAAAUAAUAAAGUCAUACCAUUCGCUGAACAUCCAAUUUAUACCUCCAUUCCGCCACUGAUUUGCCAUCAUAUCAAGACAUAUAUCCACAUUAAAGCAAUCACCAGUUGUGCCUCUAUCUUCUGCACCUCAAUCCUUGAGAUUCACGAUCCAUGGUUCACACGUAUUUGCGACACCACCUUGGCUCGUAUCCUUGAGCUUGCUGAACCAUUGAAAUUCAUACUCACGAGAUAAUGUUGAUGCAUUGUGCUCAGGUGACACUGUCUCAACAUACAAUGAAUUAGCAUGGUAUUGCUUCGUGGGUCAGCAUUGGGCCCCGAGGGCCAUAGCUCCCCACCCUCAUCACACACACACACAAAAAGAACAUAAUAAUUGUGCAUAUCAAUCACCACAUUAUUAUCUCUUUGUUACGAGUACAAGGCUAGUAAAUAUAAAUUAAAUUACAUAUCUAGAAAAAAAUGCUCAAUUUGCAGUAGUGUGCAGCACGUACAAACAGAUCAAUCUGAUUACUGGCGGCUAGUUUAGGGUUUUCCUGUUUAGUUAGUUUGCUAGCCUCUCUUUGGUGAAUGCCCUACUAGCCAUACUCAAUACUCCCGCAACAUAACAAAAUGCACUAUAUGCAAGACUUAACAUUUCUUAAGUUGUUCCAAAGCUUAUUUUCGAAGUGCCUAAUUUACAACAGGAAAAAGAGAGACGAAGUCCCUUAAACAUAACAAAAGGUGCUAUAGGCAAGACUUAAUAUAGCAUGCCAAAAUUUCUGAAAUUGUUACCCUUCGCAAUCUUGGAUUUUUUUUUUAGGAUCCGCAAUCUUGGAUUAUGACACAACCAAACAGGCUAUAAUGCACAUACUCACCAUGACACAACCAAAAUUUCCAAGAUUGUUACCCUCACCAUGGAAAGCAGAAAUUUCACAUAAUCCGACCUAACCAUUACCCAACGGGGCCAAUAAUUCUAAAUGAUUAUGAGCACCAUGUGCACAAUAAACAGCACUACAUUCCCAACCUGUAACCACCCAUGAUCCACAUCAAGGUGCUUAUCUGGACCUAUAUAUACUAUAUACGACUGCAGAUCAGAAGUCAAUCGCCGGUUCAAUCGCUCAGAAUAAUAUACAGGCAUAUGGAAAAUCAAGUCUCAUGCAGUGCUCCUGAUAUACUAGUACAUCUCAUCUACAUCUGAAGAGUCACAUGAUUAAGAACGCGAGCCCAUGCAUCAGCUGCAUCUACCUAGCAUCAUAUCUUCUUCGGGGUCCUAAGCCAGGCUCAAGCAAAUCCAAAUCCCUGCAUUGUCCAUAACAACGCCAUAGUUAUUCAAUAGUCAACAACAAUGUUCCACAAGGAACAAUGGACGAAACUAUUACAAAUGUCAAAACCAGGAUGUAACCCUUUCUUAAGAAAAAAUGGCAGUAAGGUUUUGAUGAUUUUCAAAAGAAAUGCUACAGACAGCAAAGGCUUGCACUAGUCAUUGUUCUGAAGUUUUUACUACUUGUGAGUUUUACCUACAUCUUUCUAGUGAGGGUUGUCUCACCAAGCUGCACUCAUCUAUGCUGUUUCAUCUUCAUCAUGUCGACUUCUCAAACCUGCGACAAGCUUGCAUGUCUUCAAGAAAGCAUCCAGCAACUGCAUACGAAGCACGCAUGUUAAAAUUCAGCUGUUCUGACUGUUGCAUAUCAACACAUGCAGGCAUAUGAAUAACUUCUAGGAAUGCCAAAAAUUUCCAACAUGCUGUCAAAAGGGUAAGCACCCAGGCAGCAACUUACGACAGAGAUAAGAACAAUCAACACCUGCGACAUGGACUUGCCGUACUUACCCCCGGGUAUUUUUGCAAUGUAGGAGAGUAGUGAUCAAGAGUCACAUAUAUCUUUUCGAGAAGGCUCAAAUGCGUAUUAACCUUGUCGCCCAAAAUGACAACCUGAAUCACGUAAGCAAUAAUGAGUUCAUAAUGAUAUAUCGGAAGUUAUUGCAAGCAUUACAAGUUUAAUAAAAUGAAUGAACCUUUCAUUGCUAUGCAUGUCUAUGACUUAAUCUGUAAACAAGAAAUACUCCACAAAUGCUACUGUAUAGGAAGAAGAAAAUACAGUGUCUGAAAAUAUAACCCAGGAGAUAGACAGUGUAAACAAGGAAUACCUUGGCUUCAGCCUUUUGGAGCUCAGAGCGCCUUGUUUCAAGCAUUUGUUUGUACCAGAGGCCUACUUUUGUUAGAACCACGGCUUGUUUGACCAUGUGACUGCAAUGAUCAGUCAAAUCCUCUGAUCUGAAAUAAAUAAAUAAUAACCACAUCAAGUUAUAAUGGGGUGUAUUAUAAAGACAUUUCUCCGGAAGUUGCUGCCAUGAUCAGGAUUUGGUAAUGCUCAGUCUGUAGUCUUCGCAAGCAAUUUAUGAAACAUUCAUGAGAAUGUGAUAAAAAAUAGUUAAAUAUGUUAGAUUGGAUCUGCAUUUUAAAUGCAAGAUGGACUGACCUGUUUUCAGUUUUUUCCGUUGACAAUUUUUGCUCAAUCUCCACAAACUCCUUUGACAACUUCAUGAUAGAUACCAAAAUGCACUCCAAUUGCUUUUCUUGCCCGUUCUUAGUGAGAGCACCAUCGUAAUCCAUAACUGAACCGUGCAGUUUGAGAAGUUCAUCACACUGCACAUCUUGCUUGGGAGCCUCAUGUGAUCUUCCUGGUGAUGUGUUGUUAGGCUCCACCUCGAUGUCACGCAGAAUCAUUUCAGCACUCUCUUGCUUGAUGACUUCCGGAUCUUCCUGGUGCUCUUGGAACAAACGCUCUUUCUCUAGCGCUGCUAGCUUCUCCUUCAACUUCCGGUUUUCUUCAUUCGACAGACACAGGGCCUUCUCCUUCUCAGAGAUCACAGCUUCAAGUGAAGACAGUUUUGCAUCAAAGCUCAGUGCAGCUUCAUGCAUGUCAUCCAUAGAAUCAUCAAGUAAACUUCUUGUAACAGUGCGGUAUAGCCCAUCCCUCACAUCACCUUCGAUUCGGAGGUCCUCCUGCUCUUCUCUGCUUUUCUCAAUUUGCCUCAAGAGCUCUUCUUCUGAAGAUAACUGAAGAGACAUGUCUCUGCUGGCUUCAGACAGCUGAGAUGAUAAUUCCUUAACAUCCUUCAUAUUAUCUGCAAGCAAACCUCUAAGAUGCUGAUUAUCAUAGUAUAAGGAAUCAAUUUUGCUUGCCAGUCUGCAGCCUUCAUCGAGUUCAUCAUGAGUCGUGUGAAGUGUGGGUGCCUUUAUAUUCUUGGACAUGAUUUGGUCCAUUCUAGCGAUGAUCUGUGGGAUUUUCUUUCUUAAAGGUUCAAAUUCCACAUCAUUCUGAAGAGCAAGAGACCCCUUCUCUCGUUUCAAUUUGAAGAGCUCCUCUGUCUUUUCUUGCAAGGCCAGUUCAUGCGCCCUCUUCAAUUUGCUUAUUUCAGACUUAAAGUAGCUUAUUGUUUCUUCCCUGGUCAUAGCAUUCAAAUGGCGGAAGUCAGAUUUUUCCGAGAUAACCAUGGAUUUCUGUUUCCUAAAACUCUUCCUUUCCUCGGUGCGGGGUGAAGCAUGAUCCUCCUUUGUUUUCUUUCCAAAUAAAUACUUCCACUUAUUGCUCUUGCUACCUGAACUUUCUUGCUUACUGUGAGAAAUGUGUGAUUCUGGUACUGAAGGCAACAGCAGCUUAGAAAGAGCACCCAGGUCCUCACGCAUCGCGGCAAACUGAGAUACUGCUUCCUGCCAAUUCUUACUCAUGAUGUUUGUGACAGAAAUUUGCUCAUACAACUUCCUCUCUAGCUCCUCCUGCAAGCCAGCAAUGCAUUCUGCGACCGUAAUGCCGAUGAUUUCCAGUUGCAACUCAUGCUCCCACUGAAGAUCAGUAACCAACGGGUUGGUCAGGCCAGGCAUGUCCCUAGCUUGCCGGAACACGACGGCCAGCAGCAGCUUCAGUGCGUUGAACCUUUCAUCUAUCUCGAUUAGCAUCACAUCAAGGGACAUGCCCAGGUGUGUGCUGACUAUGUAGCCAGUAUCCGGUAAAGCGUAGUUUUCCAGACCUGUUACAUCCCCCUUGAGCUUAUCCAGAUGUGUAUCUACUUCCAGUUUCAUCAUAUCUAAGUACUCCAAGUAGUUGGUCUCUGCAUUUGGGGCGCAAAUGUGUCGAUUUGAUCGUGACAGCGAUCUUCCAGACCCUUCGAAGUAGCUCUCAGUGCUGGAGUUGGACUUGAAGGACAACCUUGGCGUCAGUGAAUCUUCGGAUGUUACAGACCAGCCGUCUGGAACGGUUGGUCUGUUGGGCAGAGAGGUCAUUCUUUCACUAAACACCUGCAAACGGAUUUUUAGAUUUAGUUUAGCAUCAGAUGGGAAGGUUAACAGUUUGACACAAAUUUUAAUCUUCGAAUUAAAUUAAACUAGCUGACGGAGGAAUAGUCUUAAACUUGAGCAUAAGAAUGAUGAUUUUACCUUCACUGGAAGUAAAAUUGAAAAAACCGAUAAAUGAAUAUACUAGCAUAAUUUGUUUUCAGCAUUACAUUCACAUAUGUAAACAAAUGGUACGGAUCCCACAUGAAUUCUUUGUUUCAAAGAGGAGAAUAUAGCACUCUGUUAGUUCUGUUGAACUUACCAACAGCCAAUCGUUGGACACGGUUGUUUGAGAAUAUGCUCACUGGACACAAGAGAAAACUGAUAACUAAUUGUCGCAUAUUUCAGGAGUAGCACGACGAUGUUAGAUUAUGACUGCGGCCCCAAGGCAGAGUGGGUGAAAAUUGAAACACUGCUCAAACUGUAUGGAAACUUUAAAAUUGUUUGGUCCAAAGCACCAGAUCACUGGACACAACAGAAAACUGAUAACUAAACAGUGGAAGACAGUUGCUAAUUCGUCAAAUACUUGCUCAAAAUUCCAAGUUCAAAUUCAGUUCCCGUGGAGAGAAACUAAAAACAGAAAUCCCUGGCAUGAUUCAUGUUUAUAUAAGAAAAACUGACGAAAUGGAGCGUACGCAGAUGUUUGAUUGAUUCAGAACAGAGGAAACACCUGACCUCGAUAUGCGAGAAAAGAACACAUUUCAUAAUGAUUAUAUCCGGUUCUUGGAAGAAAUGAAAGUGUCCGAAUCCUCGCCACCUUAUGUGUGGAACGAGCAAGCACGCAUGGACAGAAAAAACAGAGCAUCGACAUGGACGGCACAAGACUAGAGGCACGCAUACCUUGGUGAUCGGAUGGCUCGCCGCCUGGAUCGUCUCCAUGGCCGCCGCGCCUGUGUCGCCGAUGGCGGUUUAAUCGGCUGACUUCCUGCGCGCGAACACCACAGCCUAGCGCUAAUUCGCGGCUGCUCCGGCGUCCAGGUAGGCACUAACCGGCACUAACGAACGAACUACCCGGUCGUACAGGAGACAGGGGCCGCCAUUAUUGGACUGGUGACUUGGGGAGGAAGAGGAUAGAGGGGAUAGGCGGAAGACGGGAGGCGAUGGCGACGGAGAAGGAAGGGAGUGAACUCGCGGGGUUAAUGCGGGAGACAGCGACCGCCGCGGCCGGGGAGAAAGCGUAUGAGGAUAAUACCGGGAGGGUGGGUAGCCCGGGGGGCGAACGGAUCGCCGGCGCGUCGCCAGGUAGGUGGCGACGGACGGGGCUGGCGGCCGGGAUGGGAUGGUGGCACCGGACGCCGGCGGGGCCCGCCUCCGGCGAGAUGUAGACGGGAGGGAAACAGUCCACUGAGUGGUGCCCGUUCUGAUUGGCGGGGGUUUCGGUUCCGUUUUCCACGGGACGCAUCCGGUCGUACAUCGCCACCACUUAUUUAAUCGUUGGUUAAUUAGCUUUUGACCAACAAUUAAUCGUUGGUUAGAAUUAGUGGUUAGAAUUGGUACUCCCUUCGUCUAGGUGUGUAAGUCACCUUACAAAAACUAAAUAAUCCUAAAACACUUAGACAUGGUACAUUAACUCCCUCCUCGUUUCUUAUUUUGUGACAUAUCAACCAAUAAGAGAUAUAGGCGUGUUACCAAACAUGACAUGCAGUGGAUAGUUUAUUGCAUGAAAUGUUAUUAAUUAGCAAAAAGACAUUAAGUUUUUUUGUUUUUCUAUCCGCCUUGGUCACGGUGCACAACGUAAAAUGACUUACACACCUAGACGGAGGGAGUAUAAAGGUUCACCAUAGUUAGUAGUGCAAAAAUUGAUGGUGUUUGGUUAAUUUAAAAACACUAGUAAACCAAUAAAAAUGUUAUUGCUGGUCAAUGUCUUGUUUCAACCAACCAAAUAGCCCUUCGUAAUCAUUUCCGCACGGGUAAAUCUAGAAUUUAUCCUAGUAUACCUCAUGGAUCAUGAGACAAGCGUUUUAUUAUCACUAAACACACAAAAUGUGUGAAUGCGAUACACCGGUUUUUUUUGCGAAAAUACCAGAUCUAUUACAGAGAUUCAUCGGACGUACAAAGCACCCUAAACAUAAUAAAAAUUAGGGUCUGUCUAGGGUACAUCUAGAUAACCUAGAGUUAUUUGCACAUCUAAGUGACUCAAUUAAACUAGAAAGAAAAAUGAAAAAAGACAAAAUAAAAUGCUUGCAUGAAUCUUAGCAUUAAAUCAAUGACAUAUGACUUACAUGUGCAAUACUUAGAGCACAUCUAGAUGUGCUUUAACAAAACUGUAAAAAUUAAAUCAAGGUCUAUGGACAACCGAAUGGCCAUUGUCACCGCCAGAACGAGCCGCCGACACAUCGUUGUUGCCGCUCUCAGACCGGAGCCGGCUUGAACUUGUCGAUGACAGCCGAGAAGUCUUCGUGCACGUGCCCCUAUGGACCAUCGUUUGGGAGCCGCAGUCGUCGCCAUUAAAUCCUUGAAUAAAUCUGAAGAACCUGGCACCAAAUCUUGUCGUUGCGUGCGCAUGACAAGAAACCCUAACCGAGGAGCUGGUAGGAAUCUACUCCGGAGCUCUGUCUAAUCCGUCCCGACGAAUGAACUUGAGAAUGAUUGGAGCCCGGAAGACUGACUCGAAAAAAAAGCGCCGCCAUCCGUCCGAGUGUCUCCCUUGUGAGAACAAAAAUCCUACCUAUCUAAGCCGAUGUACCAGGAAUACCCUCGCAGUCACCGGCCGCUAGAGCGGCGGGCGAAGGCGGAGAUUGAAGGGAAGAAGGCUUUCCCUUGUCGCCUUAAUGUGAUACACCGUUGCAUGCUCGAUCCAAGGAUUGAACUUGACGGGGCAGGCUGCGCAACAUCGAGUCUUACCAAUGAGCCGCGGAUCAGUUGUGACAAAGAUGAUCCCAACACACGGCGCCGCUACAAAAGAUCGUAGAGAGUCGUUCUACAAUUUUGUGAUAGUCAUGAUUUGACAGCAAGAAAAAAAUACGAUUUAACCAUAUAAGAAAAUUUAUCAACAUCUAUGACAUCGACUCAUGAUUUCAUCAUGAAAUAUACCUAAACGAUGCAUGCUAAUUUUUUUAUUAUUAUUCUGAAAAGAAAGGUCAUCCUCUAUAAUUUUUAUCUGACAAAACAUGUUUAUAUAGAAAUUCAUGUUAAAGUGUAACUUUAAGAACUAUAUCAUUCCAAAACGACAUGAGUUUUUGGACGAAUGUAGUACAUCAUCUCCUGUUGUUGGAUGUGGAGACACGUAUGUUAAUGCAGUGCUGGCGUUUAGGUGAGGGAACAAUAACAACCCAUAUAACCGAUUCUACAUGAGACAAAGCAUGUGCGUAGAAUGAAACGAACAGAUAUUCGUAAUUUAAAAAGUUGGUAGUACAUGUAUAGGGCUCGAUCUGAACAGUUGGCAUUCGUCAUUUUGACAAUGUGGCCAGUGAGUUGUCACAGGAGGCAAUCAUAGAGCAGCAGCAAGGCAAGUCAAUGAUGGGAGCAUUCUUGUCUGAGGAGGGAUUUUGUUAGGUCAGAGAGAGAGACGCAGCGCUGCUGGCUUGCUCUCGCUCUUGUGACGGCCGGAAAGCGGCCGUCUGCUGUUUCGAGGAUUAACUGAAACUAGAAGCAUGAUUUACAACGAUGUUGCAUGGUUGAUUGGUAUGUAGAAAAAAUAAAGCAUAACCUUGCUCGGUUGAGCGUGAGAAAGGAGUGCCAAAAUAAUGUGGUACUAGCACGGUGCUGUUGCGUUGCCACGGAACCAUUGGCUUAGAGGUAGUGAAAUAACGUUAGUGUCAUUUAUCAAUGUCGUCAGAGAAUUUUAAAUGACCAUAUUAGUUUGGGGAUAAAACUAAAAUUAAGAGCGGUUUUGGGUUCAAGUCACAUUUUUAUCUUGUUAUUUAUGCCUUUUACAAAAUGUUAGUCUCACAAGAAAGUGAUGUAUUUGUUUAUUUAUGAUAGAUCCCACAUGUGAGUAAAUUACAUUUGUUUAUAUGUCUCUUGGAGUCCCUUCGAGGAUAUCCGAUAAAAUAUAUGUCUCUCGAAAGGUUGCUAGUUUCAGGGAUCCAUAUGUGAACUCAUCAUCAACUUCAAUCUUUAUAAGUAGGAAAGAAGUUGAAUUCAGAAUCUCAAGGUCUGUCUUACAACCUGGUUCGGACCAUGACACAAGGAUAUUCAAGGACACAUUGGACAAGUACAAAGAGAAGUUUUAUCAUCCUUCGUCGGGUAUUUCCUUAAAAUAAUCAUGCAACUCAACUUGACAAUGUAUUAUGUUCCUGUUUGACAUAAACAUUCACUGUGUAGGAGAACACUAUCUUGUUGUUUUUUCUCUACCUUGAACUUUGUAUCGCAGGCAUGACUUAGCACAACUAGGAAAGCAAGAGAAGAUAAAGAUACGCGAGACUAGAAAAAUAUUCGUCGGAUACCCCAAUCAGUUUGGUUAGCUAGCACCAUUUCAGAGGAACAAAGUACCAUCUACUUGAGUUUCUACUUGGCCCUAUUGCAAGUGGUAGAGGAGUAGUAUUCAAUUAUCUCCAUUCUUCACUCUGAAAUGUCACAUAGCGUUUCUUUUGUGUGUUGAAGCAGAAAUGGUGCAUUUCUCAAACAAAAGCCUAGCUAUCUCCCCACGAAGCAAGCAAGGAUUAUCGCUGCUCGUAUGACAUUGAAAAACUUCAUAAGAGACAAUAGUUUGUAUGAUUAUCGGGCGCCGAUGAUAAUCUAGUAUCCUCCAGACCAUGUGGUCAACACUAUGUGGGAAGUGAAAGUACGACCAUGGACGCAACUUGGAACAUGAUUGCCGAUGAUGUGUUAGCGAUAGAGAGUAGGAUUGUCGUAUAAUUGAUGAUACUGAAAACCGUUAGUAGUCCCGAUAGGAUGGUGUGCAGGACCGGAAGUACCAGAGGGGAUCGCACAAGGGGGGUUUACCUAGUUUUGGGUCCUCGUCAUGGAGGUAAAACCCUACUCCUACUGUGAAUUUGAUUGAUGAGGGAAACACCCCGUGUGAGGGGGUUACAAUAUGUGUGGAGAUGUUGCUAUAGAUACUAUGGCUAUGAUAUCAGAUAUCUUGAAGUGCCCCUGAUGAGGAACGUUACAUGAAAAUAAAAAAAUUCCUACGAACACCCAAGAUCUAAUCUGGGAGAUGCAUAGCAACAAGAGGGGAGUAUGUCUACGUACCCCCGUUGACCGAAAGCGGGAGCGUAUUUAACGCGGUUGAUGUAGUCGUAAUCUUCGCGAUCCAAUCACGAUCCAACCGAUCUAGUGCCGAACGGACGACACCUUGAUGACCCACAAGUAUAGGGGAUCAAUCGUAGUCAUUUUGAUAAGUAAGAGUGUCGAACCAAACGAGGAGCAGAAGAAAAUGACAAGUGGUUUUCAGCAAGUAUUCUUUGCAAGCACUGAAAUGGUCGGUAACAGAUAGUUUGAUAGCAAGAUAAUUUGUAACGAGCAAGUAACGGUAACGGUAAAUAAUAUGCAACAAGGAAGCCCAAUCCUUUUGUGGCAAAGGGCAGGCCAAAACAGUCUCUUAUGAUAAGCAAAGCAUUCUUGAGGGUACAAGGGAAUUUUAUCUUGUCACUUACAUCAUGUUAGUUCGAUUCGUGUUCGCUACUUUGAUAAUUUGAUAUGUGGGUGGACCGGUGCUUAGGUGCUGUUUUUACUUGAACAAACCUCCUACUUAUGAUUAACCCCCUCGCAAGCAUCCACAACUACGAGAAAAGUAUUAAGAUAAAAUCUAACCAUAGAAUUAAACUUUUGGAUCCAAAUCGGUCCCUUACGAAGUAGCGCAUAAACUAGGGUCCAAGCUUCUGUCACUCUAGCAACCCAUCAUCUGAUAACUACUCCACAAUGCAUUCCAUUAGGCCCAAAUAUCGUGAAGUGCCAUGUAGUCGACGUUCACAUGACACCACUAAGGGAAUCACAACAUACAUCUCAUCAAAAUAUCGAACACAUAUCAAGUUCACAUGAUUACUUGCAACAAGAUUUCUCCCGUGACCUCAAGAACAAAAGUAACUACUCACAAAUGAUAAUCAUGCUCAAGAUCAGAGGGGUACUAAAAUAGCAUAAUAGAUCUCAACAUAUAAUCUUCCACCAAAUAAACCAUAUAGUAAUCAACUACAAGAUGUAAUCAACACUACUAGUCACCCACAGGUACCAAUCUAAGGUUCCGGUACAAAGAUUGAACAUAAGAGAUGAACUAGGGUUUGAGAGGAGAUGGUGCCGUUGAAGAUGUUGAUGGAGAUUGCCCUCCCCAAGAUGGGAGAGUUGUUGGUGAUGAUGUUGACGAUGAUUUCCCCGUCCAGGAGGGAAGUUCCCCCGACGGAAUCGCUCCAUCGAAGGGCAAAAGUGCUCCUGCCCAAGUUCCGCCUCGAGACGGCGGCGCUUCAUCCCGAAAGUCCUCCCCUUAUUUUUUCUAGAUCAAAAUGACUUAUAUACUAGAAGAGGGGCACCGGAGUUGGGCCGACGAGGGCACAACCCACCAGGGCGUGCUAGGGCCCCCUCUAGUGAUUAUUUGCUCCAAUAUUCUUCAUAUAUUUCAAAAUAAUUCUCUGCAAAUUUUCAGCUCAUUCGGAGAUGUGCAGAAUAGGUAACUCUAAUGUAGCUUUUCCAGGUCCAGAAUUUCAGCUGCCAGUAUUCUCCCUCUUUGUGUGAACCUUGCAUAUUAUGAGAUAAAAGGCAUUAUAAUUACUCCAAAAGGCAUUAUUAUAUAUGCAUAAAAAAUAGUAAAUAACCGUAGGUAAACAUGAUGCAAAAUGGACGUAUCAACUCCCCCAAGCUUUUAGAGAAGUCUUUAAUAAACCUCCUACAGAAACUAGCAUGACCAAGGAAACUACGAAUACCUUUAAUAUCUUUAGGACAUGGCAUUUUCUCAAUUGCAUCAACUUUAGCUUUAUCCACAUCAAUACCUCAUUCAGAAAUUUUAUGUCCCAAAACAAUACCUUCAUUAACCAUAAAGUGGCACUUCUCCCAAUUCAAGACAAGAUUAGUUUGCUCGCAUCUCUGCAAAACUCGAUCAAAGUUGCAUAAGCAAUCAUCAAAAGAAGUCAUGUAAACGGAAAAGUCAUCCAUGAAAACCUCAACAAUCUUUUCACAAAAGUCAAAGAAUAUAGCAGUCAUACAUCUUUUAAAGGUAGCAGGCGCAUUGCAUAAACCAAAAGGCAUACAUCUAUAAGCAUAAGUUCCAAAAAGGGUAAGUAAAGGUGGUUUUCUCUUGAUUAGGUUGUGAAACAUGUAUUUGAGAAAAACCAGAAUAUCCAUCAAGAAAGCAAAAUGUGUGUGCUUUGAUAAUCUUUCUAGCAUUUGACCAAUAAAAGGCAGAGGGUAAUGAUCUUUUCUAGUUGCUUUAUUUAAUAUUAUAAAAUCAAUUACUAUUCUAUAACCAGUGACAAUUCUUUGUGGAAUAAGUUCAUUUUUAUCAUUAGGAACAACAAUAAUACCUCCCUUCUUAGGGACGCACUGAACGGGACUUACCCAUCUACUAUCAGCUAUGGGAUAGAUUAUACCUGCUUCAAGAAGCUUUAAUAUUUCAGUUCUUACCAUUUCUUUCAUUUUAGGAUUCAAAUGUCAUUGAUGAUCAAUAACGGGUUUAGCAUCAGGUUCCAUAUUAAUCUUGUGCUGACAUAGAGUGAGACUAAUGCCCUUAAGAUCAUCAAGAGUAUAUCCAAUAGAAGCUCAGUGCUUCUUCAGAAUUUUCAAUAAUCUUUCUUCUUCUUGUUCUGAGAGGUUAGCACUAAUAAUAACAUGAUAAAUCUUUUUUCUCAUCAAGAUAAGCAUAUUUCAUAGUGUAUGGCAAUUGUUUUAAUUCAAACAUAGGAUCACCCUUAGGUGGAGGAGGACCUCCUAGAGUCUCAAUGGGCAAAUUGUGUUUAAGCAGAGGUCAUUAUUCAAAGAAUAUUUUGUCUAUUUCAUUUCUUUCAUGCAUAUGCAUAUCGUUCUCGUGAUCUAGCAAAUAUUGUUCUAGUGGAUCAGUAGGAGGCACGGCAAUAGAAGCAAGACCAAUUAUUUCAUCUUUACUAGGUAAAUCUUUCUUAUGAUGUUUUUUACUAAACUUAGAAAAAUUAAACUCAUGAGACUCAUCACCAAAACUAACACCGACGGUUUGUUUCUCAUAAUCUAUUUUAGCAUUAACGGUGUUCAAGAAAGGUCUACCAAAGAUAAUGGGACAAAAUUCAUCUUGUGGGGAAACCAAGAACAAUAAAAUCAGUAGGAUAUUUAUUUUCCCACACAAGACUUCAACAUCUCUAACAAUCCCAAGUGGUGUGAUGGUGUCUCUAUUAGCAAGUUGAAUAGUAACAUCUAUGUCUUCUAUUUCAGCUGGUGCUAUGCCAUUCAUAAUUUCUUGGUAUAUGGUAAAAGGAAUAACACUCACACUAGCACCUAAAUCACAUAAAUCAUGAUAACAAUGGUCUCCUAUUUUAACUGAAACAAUGGGCAUGACAAUAACAGUUCUAUGUUUAUCUUUCUCAUCGGGUUUAGCAAUUCUAGCAGCUUCAUCACAGAAAUAAAUAAAAUUCCCAUCAAUAUUUUCUACCAAUAGAUCCUUAACCAUAGCAACACUAGGUUAUACUUUGAUUCGUUUCGAUGGUUUAUGUGCGCUAAUAUUGCUUUUAUUGACCACGGUUGAAACCUCAUCAUGUUCUUUUAUCCUAACAGGGAAAGGUGGUCUUUCAAUAUAAGCAGUGGGAACAACUGGAUCAACAUUGUAAAUGAUAGUUUCAUCUUUAACCACAACCGGUUCUUUAAUUUCUUCUUUAAUAGGUGGAUGAUAUUUAAACUACUUCUCUUUAGGGAGAUUGACAUGGAUAGCAAAUGAUUCACAAAAAGAGGCUACUAUCUCAGAGUCAAGUCCAUAUUUAGUGCUAAACUUGCGAAAAGCAUCGGUAUUCAUAAAAGAUUUAACACAAUCAAACUUAAGCUUAAUACCUGACUUUUUACCUUCGUCAAGUUACCAAUAUCCAGAGUUGCGUUUAAUUCUUUCUAAAAGAUCCCACCCGAAUUCAAUAGUCUUCUUCAUAAAAGAACUAGUACAAGAAGUAUCGAACAUGGAUUGGUCAUCACGAGAAAGCCGAGCAUAAAAAUUCGGAAUGAUAAUUUCCCUCGAGAGCUCAUGAUUAGGGCAUGAAUAUAACAUUGACUUAAGCCUCUCCCAAGCUAGAGCGAUACUUUCUCCUUCACGAGGCCAAAAAUUAUAUAUAUAAUUUCGACGAUGAUGAACUAGAUGCAUAGGAUAAUUUCAUUUCAAUCGAUUCUAGUUCCAAGAUCCAAUAUCAUCACAUAGCCUAUACCAUGCCAAUGCUUUUCCCUUUAAAAAUAAAGGGAAAAACUUCUUCUUAGCUUCAUCUCCGGGUAAACCUGCAAGUUUAAUAAUCCACAAAUUUCAUCUCCAUAUAUCAAGUGCAUAUCAGGAUGUCCGGUUCCAUCUCCUGCAUAAGGAUUAGCUAGCAGUUUUGUUCUAUCAUACCCGAAGGAAUUUCAUAACCAAUAUUUUUAGUAGGUGUAGUAGGUUGAGGGGCAACUAAUUGUGGUUUCGGUCGAGGUGAAGAUACCCCGAACAAACCCCUCAAAGGAUUGUUCUCCAUAAUAACAAGUGAUAAUAAAUUUCAGCAUGUAGUAAUAAUUUUUUGUUACCAAUUUCCACUUACCAAGAGCGCUUCACUCCCCGGCAAUGGCACCAGAAAAGAGCCUUGAUGUCCCACAAGUAUAGGGGAUCAACCGUAGUCCUUUCGAUAAGUAAGAGUGUUGAACCCAACGAGGAGCAGAAGGAAAUGAUAAGUGGUUUUCAACAAGGUAUCCUCUGCAAGCACUGAAAUUGCCGCUAACAGAUAGUUUGAUAACAAGAUAAUUUGUAAUGAGCAAGUAACGGUAACGGUAAAUAAUAUGCAGCAAGGUAGCCCAAUCCUUUUGUGGCAAAGUACAGACCAAAGCGGUCUCUUAUGAUAAGGAAAGCAUUCUUGAGGGUACACGGGAAUUUCAUCUUGUCACUUUCACCAUGUUGGUUCGAUUCGUGUUCGCUACUUUGAUAAUUUGAUAUGUGGGUGGACCAGUGCUUAGGUGUUGUUCUUACUCUCCUACUUGUGAUUAACCCCCACGCAAGCAUCCACAACUAUGAGAAAAUUAUUAAGAUAAAAUCUAACCAUACCAUUAAACUUUUGGAUCCAAAUCGGUCCCUAAUGAAGUAGCGCAUAAACUAGGGUUUAAGCUUCUGUCAUUCUAGCAAACCAUCAUCUAAUAACUACUCCACAAUGCAUUCCCUUAGGCCCAAAUAUCAUGAAGUUCCAUGUACGCGACGUUCAUAUGACACCACUAAGGGAAUCACAAUAUACAUAUCAUCAAAAUAUUGAACACAUAUCAAGUUCACAUGAUUACUUGCAACAAGAUUUCUCCUGUGACCUCAAGAACAAAAGUAACUACUCACAAAUGAUAAUCAUGCUCAAGAUCAGAGGGGUACUAAAAUAGCAUAAUAGAUCUCAACAUAUAAUCUUCCACCAAAUAAACCAUAUAGUAAUCAACUACAAGAUGUAAUCAACACUACUAGUCACCCACAGGUACCAAUCUAAGGUUUCGGUACAAAGAUUGAACAUAAGAGAUGAACUAGGGUUUGAGAGGAGAUGGUGCCGUUGAAGAUGUUGAUGGAGAUUGAGCUCCCCAAGAUGGGAGAGUUUUUGGUGAUGAUGUUGACGAUGAUUUCCACCUCCGGGAGGGAAGUUCCCCCGGCGGAAUCGCUCCGCCGAAGGGCAAAAGUGAUCCUGCCCAAGUUCUGCCUCGAGGCGGCGGCGCUUCGUCCCGAAAGCCCUUCGACAAAACCUUCUGGUCGCAUCAUAUACAACUCUUCUUUAAUAAAUCCAUUAAGGAAUGCAGUUUUGACGUCCAUUUGCCAGAUUUCAUAAUAAUAAAAUGCAGCAAUUGCUAACAUGAUCCGGACAGACUUAAGCAUCACUACGUGUGAGAAAGUCUCAUCAUAGUCAACUCCUUGAAUUUGUCGAAAACCUUUCGCGGCAAGUCGAGCUUUGUAGAUAGUAACAUUACCAUGAGCGGCAGUCUUCUUCUUGACGAUCCGUUUAUUCUCUAUGGCUUGUCGGUCAUCGAGCAAGUCAACCAAAGCCCACACUUUGUUCUCAUACAUGGAUCCUAUCGCAGAUUUCAUGGCCUCAACCAUUUAUCGGAAUCUGGGCUCAUCAUCGCUUCCUCAUAGUUCGUGGGUUCGUCAUGGUCAAGUAACAUGACUUUCAGAACAGGAUUACCGUACCACUCUGGUGUGGAACGUGCUAUGGUUGACCUACGAGGUUCGGUAGUAACUUGAUAUGAAGUUUCAUGAUCAUUAUCAUUAGCUUCCUCUCUAGUUGGUGUAGGCAUUACUGGAACUAAUUUAUGUGAUGAGCUACUUUCCAAUUCGAGAGAAGGUACCAUUACCUCAUCAAGUUCUACUUUCCUCCCACCCACUUCUUUCGAGAGAAACUCCUUCUCUAGAAGGGAUCCAUUCUUAGCAACAAAGAUCUUGCCUUCGGAUCUAUGAUAGAAGGUGUACCCAACAGUUUCUUUUUGGUAUCCUAUAAAGAGGCACUUCUCCAAUUUGAGUUUGAGCUUAUCAGGCUGAAGCUUUUUCACAUAAGCAUCGCAACCCCAAACUUUAAGAAACGACAACUUAGGUUUUUUUUGCCAAAUCACAGUUCAUACGAUGUCGUCUCAAUGGAUUUAGACGAUGCCCUAUUUAAAUUGAAUGCAUCUGGCUCUAAUGCAUAACCCCAAAAUGAUAGUUGUAAAUCAGUAAGAGACAUCAUAGAUCGCACCAUAUCUGUCGGAUGUGGGGUUUCGGCAAACCCUUAAGGUUCGGACACUGGGGUGCGCGCGAAGUCUUUCCUUCCCACCAAUCGACGCCCUAGCUCACUGAGAUCUCGCAGACGAACUCAACGAACUCACAACACAGAAAGACACAAGAUUUAUACUGGUUCGGGCCACCGUUGUGGUGUAAUACCCUACUCCAGUGUGGUGGUGGUGGAUUGCCUCUAGGGCUGAUGAUGAACAGUACAAGGGAAGAACAGCCUCCUGAGGUUGAGGUGUUCUUGUGAGUAGGCUCUCGAUCGGGUUGGAUCAAGCUAAGAUGAGAUGUCCCUACUAUGGUGGCUAGCUCUACUUAUAUAGGCCCUGGUCCUCUUCCCAUAUAUUGAUCGGGAAUGGAGCCAACAAUGGCGGGCUAAUUCGAAGGGGGACAGCUAGUACAAGCUAUCCUGACAAAAGUGGUCUUCGCCUGCCAAAGGCUCUGGUGGUGACGCCGUCUUGGGCUCCACGAUGACCUCCAUCUUGCCGUCCUCCUGGUCUUGGUCUUGUUGCACCAAUAUAGCAACCUUUGCCUGAUGCCUCGGUACUCUUCGCCUGCGCUUGCCUCCUUAGCACCAAAGAGGAAACAAGGAUGCUGCGCGCGCUGGCGCACGCCUGGUGCCGUGCGUCAUGGCUCACGUCACGAGGGUCUUGUGAGGUUUGCCCCGCCUUGAUAUCUCCGCUCCUUGUGAGCCUGCCUGGCUAGGCCACUCCCGAGGAGGUCUUGCGUCGUCCGCCUCGCGAGGCUUGGACCCCCGCGAGGGUCUUGGAUGCUUUGUUGAUGAUGAUGGGUCGUACGGCCGACUGGCUCAGCCACGCCGCAGGCCACAGGCAGGCAAGUCUGGGGACCCCCGUUCCCAGGACGCCGACAGUAGCCCCCGGGCCCAAGGUGCACUCGGGCUUGGCUUCACGGCGAAGCCAAGGGACAAGUUCGAAGCACCGCGGACCCCAAAAGCCCGCGGCCUCGAUUGACGCAUGGCGGUUGAUUGGACGUGCACUACAAGAAAUAUGUCAACUUGUGACCCUCACUAUUGGUCUCUAAAAGGUCAUAGUUUUUCAUUUGCGACCUUUUUGUGACCAAAACCAGAAGGUCAAAAGCUGGCGGUCAUAAACUGAAAUUAUUGACCUUCUGUAAAAGGUCGUUGGUUCCACGACCAAAUUUUUGGUCACUAGCAACCUCCCCAGGCCACGUAGGCAUCUAGCGUGGCAAGCUGAUGUGGCACAAGAUUCAGCCCGGUCCAAUUUGGUUUUCUACAUGGGCCUAGCCCAACAAUUCUAGCUUUUUUCCAAGUCAAUUCUUGUAGGCUACAUGGGCCAAGCCCAAUAUUUCACCAUCUUUAUUGUUGGGCCUUGGCCUUCUUACAAUCAUUUAUUUUUUAUUUUCAAUCAUUAUAUUUUAGCACUGGUCCCACAUGUCAGAAAUUUCAAAAAUGCCCAGAUUUUAUUCAUAAGUGGUUCCCACUGGUCAAGUUUCCAUUUCACAUCUUUUCAACAUACAUAAUCACUAUUUCAAACAUACACUAGUCUUUUACAAUCUGUUACAUAAGGCACAUCCCAGACAUAUUACAAAGGCGCAUCUUAAAUUGUUCUCACUCGUCAGAUUGAUCAUACAUAAUCAAUAUUUCAGACGGAACAGUACAAAUGUAGUUCAUCAAGUAACACUAAGUAUACUACAAUCUGUAGAUAGUCUAUUACAACCCCAAUAUGCCUACUGUUACAAUAUUUACAGUCUAUUACAGUCAAACAUAAGAGACAACUCUUUGCUGAGUAGGGCUAUACGGCUUCAAACUUCAAAUUUCAUAGACCUAGAGCUCCUGUAAAAGAGUGAACACAUAGGCUACCAGCAGUAGAUUAUUAGAUUAUUCCUGGACUAUCGAAAAAUUAUAUAUUGAAAGAGAUCUCAUAGAAAUGUAGAUUACGGACCAAAUAUAUGAUAAAGCAACAGAUUCAGCCAACUUCAAAGACCUAGAUGUUUGCGAUGCAUCUUCACAGAACCACAAGAACACUAGAUAUAAUAUAAUAUGAUUCCAGGAGACCACAAGAGCAUCAAUCAGCAGUAGGUAUAUAGCUAGCAAACUAUCUACUAGACAUCAUCGACACUUGAACCAUAACAUGCAUGUCCAGCAAGGAAACAAAAAAUGGGACCAUAACAUGCAUGUCCAGCAAGGAAACAAAAAAUGGGACAAGUCCUAAUGCUGGAUAACAUGUACAGGAAGGCCAUCUAAUGGUUUCAGCCACAUCCUAAUAAACAAGCGGCACUCUAAUACUACUAAUUACCAGCAGUAAAUAAAAUAGCCAAAUGAGGCAACAACACUUGAUCAUCAACACAACAGUCAGCAAGGACUCAACCACGGCGCAAAAAGCAUCAAAAUCCUAACUAACCCAUGAAACAGAGCAUGGUUGUAGCAUAGCAAAGGUAGGAACUCACAAUGGUGGUUUGUGUAGCUGAUGUCGAACAGCCUACGUUCGUCGCUUGCGGGCACCAUGCACCUUGGUGCCUUGCAUACGGCCUCCUUUGAGUCUGUGAGAGAAAGAACGAGGUGAAGGUUAGUCGCAUCAAGGAUGCUGUUGUUCUGGGUCAAGCUAAGUCAACGGCAUAAGAGAUUUUAGUCAAAUUAACAUGUGAACAUAUUGCACAAUAGUAGUAGUAUAAAUUGUAGUAGUAAGCAUGCAAGGAAACAAAACAUGGGACAAAUAUUGAUAGCAACAAAAUAACCAGGAUAUGACAAUAGUAGUAGUAUAGAUUGUAGUGACAAAAGCACAGCAUGCAAACAUGCAUCUCAUCCCAACCUAAAUACAACUGUAAAACAAAUACAACUCUGCUUUCAAACUAUUCAUUUUGAACAUCUCUUGUGACAGGAAUUCAGCUAGUCCAAGACUAAUAAAAGCCUUCCAAACAUCACAUGUGCAACAAGUUCAACAAUGAACUAGCGCACACGCAAUACAGACAAGGGUACUUUUCCCCAACUGUGCAUACUGGUUUAUGCUAAGUGUGGCCCAAGUGAACAGCAAAAUGGGCACUGUCCUGCCAUAUAAAACAGAGUGACAUAAGAAGACAGGUGAUGCACCAUAUAUGGAGGGCACAAGGCGUAAUGUGGGUUCUGUCUCUGCCUUGUCUUGAAUAAUUGUACAAGAAAGGAGAGCUACGAUUCUUUUACACAAAACAAGAAGCCGUUGGACUAACACUGUGAUCUAUAACAAGUUUAGAACUAAGAGACGUCCCUUGGUUACAUUAUUCUAUCACUCCCAGCACUACCGUGUUGUAUUGUAUGGCAUGCAUAAUCAUUGAUCAAUAACAAACGCACAAAUACAUGUUCAACCAAAUAAAUACGGAAAGCAAUAGAAGCAAGUUGAUGCGACAUUGCUCACCUUGAUCAAUGCGGGACUCUUGGCAAACUCUGGACGGGAGUCCAUGAACUUCUUCAGGUCCAGAUCCAGGUACUCGAAGAUGAGCCAUAUGCGCUUCUCGCUGUGGACAACAUCGUGCAGCCUGUAAGAGAGGAAUGGGCAAAGCUUCUCAGCAUAGCAACAAUGCAAACCAUCUACUAACACUCACCCUAUAAAUAGAUGAAUAAAUAAAUAGCAACAUCACUGGCAGUAGUAGCACAUUUCAUAGGUUCUAAAUCCGGCAUGUUCAUUUACUGCUGCAUAAAAGCGAAGGCCAUCCAUCCCCAUCUCGACUUAAUGCGCACUUAAAUCAAUCAAAUGAUCAAUCAAUCAAGCAGUUAAUCCGAGCUAGUUGAGGCAAGCAAUGCCCGAUCCUAAAUAAAUAAAUAAAUCCGGAGCAGGUAAUGAACAAGGUCAAUGCAAACAAACUAACAAACAGGGGAGUAGGAGGGGGUGAGAGACGACGCACUUGACGAUGUUGCCGUGCUGCAUCUCCUUGAGGAGGGAGAUCUCGCGGAUGGCGGUGGAGGGGACGCCAUCGUCCUCCUGCUGGAGGUGGAUCUUCUUGAGCGCCAUGGUCUCGUAGGUGGCCCUGUCCCUGAUCUUCUCCACGUUCUUAUGCUGCGUGCAAGAACACAUGCUUGAGAAGAUAAGAACAAAAAACAAGAUGAAUGGGCUGAGCUACGUGUGGGGCGAGGUAAAAGUCACCAGAGCCGCACCAUCGAUGGAGGCGCCAUCGCAUCCGAAACCCUAGCCAUGGGGACGUUGUCGGGGAAGGACGCAUGCAAAAGGAGCAGCACGACCGGCCUUGAGGUCCGGCGCAUCGACGGCCUGCCUGGCGUCGGGCGCCCUUGCGGAGACGCCAGAAGAGGAGGCUGGUGAAGCAGCGAUGGACGGGAUCGACUGCAAGGGUGGAGUACGACGAACAUGGCCGUCCCCUCCUCCGAGGAGACGACGGACCCCUCCCUACAGCGCGAGGUGGACGGCGGCCGUCCGAGGAUCCCGCAAACCCUAGGUCGCAUGCCGUCGUGGUCCGGCCAGCUCGAUGGAGCGGCGCGCAUCGAAGCACGCGCGCGCCGGUGAGCCAGCCGGCCGCGACGCCGAGGCUGCAGGGCGCUGGAUGUGCUGCGGGAGGUGGAGGGAGGGCGGCGCGCAUUGAAGCACGCGCGCGCCGGCGAGCCAGCCAGCCGCGACGCCGAGGCUGCAGGGCGCUGGAUCUGCUGCGGGAGGUGGAGGGAGGGUGGCACGCAUUGAAGCACGCGCGCGCCAACGAGCCAGCCGGCCGCGACGCCGAGGCUGUAAGGCCUGGAUCUACUGCGGGAGGUGGAGGGAGGGCGACGCGCGGAUCUGGCGUCGUCGGGAAGGGGAAGGUGAUCUGGAAGGGGAGGAGAUCUCUCUCUCUCUCUCUCUCUCUCCGCAUCGGGCACGGUGGGGUGGGUGGGUGGGACACAACGGGUGGGUGCGGGUGGGUGGGUGGAUGGAUGGAUGGAUGGAUGUGGGAUGAAAAGAUGGAUGGAUGGAUGUGUGCCAUGUCAUCGAUCCAUGGCACACAUGUUUCCACCAAUGAUGAUUAAGCUUAUGCAAUUGUUUUUUUUUCUCUUAUAUAUUUUCUUAUCCAUAUAAAUAACCUAUCCAAUAUUUGUUGCAAAAGGGAACCACUUCAUUUUCAAAAAUAUUAUACCAUAUUGACUAACUCGGGGAGGCUUCGUUGCAACUCCGGCGACCCUCGACGAUAUUACAUCACAACACUAGCGGUCCGACAAUGCUUCAUUGCAACUCCGUCGGUCCCGACAAUGUUGGAUCACAGCACCGGCGGUCCGCGGUGAUGCUAUGUUGCAUCAUCGAUGACUAUUGCCGCACCACCUUCUGCUGCAACCCCCGGCGACCUUGCGACACCAUCCUCGUGUGCAUGACCGGUGGCCACUACCCGGCAGCCUGCGGCGCCAUGCAUCACUGCCCCACACCAAGAGCUUCGACGCCCCUCGCAUCAACAAAUCGUCACCACCGUCCUCGAAUAGCGGCCAUCCCAGAAAUGCUCAAUGUUAUGGUAGAUCAAUGGCUUUCAACCCAAAUGCUCAAUGUUAUGGUAGCAUUCAUGGCAUAGUUUGUUCAAAUAAUCUCACGUUGUGCACAAGGGUGCAUCUUGGAAUGGAAAACAAUGUUGCCUAAGGAAUUAUUCAUUUUCUUUGGGCGAAAAAUUCAUUUUUCAUUUUGUGAAUGCCCAAAAUGAGUUUUUUUAGUGACGGGCCUACCAUAUAUUUGUUGUAAAAUUGGACCAUAUCAUUUUUCUAAAAUAUUAGGCCAUAUUUAAUGCACACUGACCAAAUUGUUGGGUUUCAAAAGUUUUGAUCCAUCUCUGGUGAAAAAGACAAAUUUCUACCGAUUUAGCAGGAAGCGGGUCAAAUUUGAACUGCAGCUGCCUCAUAGUUUGCUCUUUAUUUUUUCCAAAAAUAUUUUAUAGGUACAUAAGUAUCUAUUUAAUCAGAGAAACAUUGAAUGUUUUCCAAGAUUCAACUACUAGCUAGGAACGGUCAUUCCCGCCGUUUUGACCGCAUUUUGAAACGGGCAUAAAAAAUUCAAAAAAAUUGGAAAACCUUAGCAUUGUGUCAUCAUAUGUGACCAAGUUUCCAGGAAAAAUAAUAAACUUGUAAUAUGACAAUUAUUUUAAAAAAGUAUUCUCGGAAAUGAGCUAUCAUGUGUGAAGAUUCAUGGCUUUCAAGUCAAAUGCUCAAUCUUAUGGCCACAUUCAUGACAUAGUUUGUUCAAAUGAUCUCAUAUUGUGCACAAGGGUGCAUAUUGGAAUUGCAAACAAUGUUGCCUCAGGAAGAUUUCAUUUUCUUUGGACGAAAAACCAUUUUCCAUUUUUCGAGUGCCAAAAGGAGGUUUUUUGUGAAGGAACUCCCAAAUAAUUGUUGCAAAAUUGGACCACAUCAAUUUUAUAAAAUACUAGGACAUAUUUAAUGCACAAUUGACAAAAUGGUUGGGUGCAAACGGUUUUGACCCACCUCUCAUGAAAAAGACAAAUUUCCGCCGAUUCAGUUGGAAGCGGGUCAAAUUUGAAUUGCAGCUGCCUCAUAGUUUGCUAUUUAUUUUUUCCAAAAAUCAUUUCUAGGUACAUAAGUAUCAAUUUAACCAUAGAAACACCAAAAAAAUUCCAAGAUUCAACUACUAGUUAGGAACGGUUAAGCCUGCCGUUUUGACCGCAUUUUGAAACGGGCAUAAAAAUUCAAAAAAUUGGAAAACCUUCGCAUUGUGUCAUUAUAUGUGGCCAAGUUCCCAGGAAAAAUAACAAACUUGUAAUACGGCAAUUAUUUGAAAAAAGUGUUCUCAGAAAUGAGAUAUCAUCUGUGAAGAUUCAUGGCUUUCAAGCCAAAUGAUCAAUCUUAUGGCCACAUUCAUGGCAUAGUUUGUUCAAAUGAUCUCAUAUUGUGCACAAGGGUGCAUAUUGGAAUGGCAAACAAUGUUGCCUAAGGGAGUUUUCAUUUUCUUUGGAUGAAAAAUCAAUUUUCCAUUUUUUGAGUGUCCAAAAUGAGUUUUUUUUUGUGAAGGACCUACCAUAUAUUUGUUGCAAAAUUGGACCAAAUCAAUUUUAUAAAAUACUAGGCCAUGUUUAAAGCAAAAUUGACAAAAUGGUUGGGUGCCAAAAGUUUUUAUCCACCUCUGGUGAAAAAGAUAAAUUUCCGCUGAUUCAGUAGGAAGCGGGACAAAUUUGAACUGCAGCCGCCUCAUAGUUUGCUCUUUAUUUUUUCAAAAAAUCAUUUUUAGGUAGAAAAGUAUCUAUUUAAUCAUAAAUACAUGGUUUGGUGGUGAUACGUUGAGGUUUGGAUGGUGGCUCAGGGCCCCAACUCCAAAGCGCAUAGGCUCGCAUGCCCGCCGCGUGGUCACCGCGUGACCGUGGUGUUGCCAUGCGUUCCGGGCGACCUAGGAAUGUCUAGUGGGUUGGGCACUCCCCUGAUAGGUGUCAGGAAGAAGAAGGCAAUAUAAGAAUCUCACGAGGAGACUGAACCGAGCUCAAACAUGAAUUAGCACCCAAAUGUUUGAUUAGUGGUACGGGAAAUGCACAUGGCCAAUGGGCCUGAGUUUUGGCCGAGGAUGAUCAUCUACUAAGGACACUAUCUUGGAAAAUUUGCAGCUCAAAUGGAGGAGCCUAGGUGUCACUUGCUUUGCAACGUACCACACUGGACAGAAAUAUGAAUGUUGAAGCCACACUCACAUGUAUUGUUAGAUGGGGCUCAAAUUUUGUGGAGAGCUAUGAUUUGGGAAUAUAGAAGAUGUGGCAAAAAUUCAGCUCAUUAGGAUAUGCCUAGCCAGUACUUCCUUCACAACAGUUCGAGCUGAACAAAAACUUUGGAAAUUUGCCGAGGAAGAUUUACCAGUCAAAUGGAGUUGAAUAUUGUCAUGAGGCAAUGAUUUGGAUAGUAAAGAAUGCCCAAUUUUUUUGGGAAUUUUGAGAAUGACAGAAAUAUAGGUUGCUUCACAACCUAGGGCAAAAAUUGACACAUGGACAUGACACAUAGGCAAAACUAAUGAGGUGGCGCCUUGUCAUAGGAAUAAGUACCAAUGCAUCCACAUUCACAACCUCACGACCAUUUAUAUUGGUCGUAAUCAGGUAGAAAUAAGGUCAUUGGCGCCUCUUGUCUGCUUUGUGACCAUUUGGUGUAAGCAAUUUCAGGGUUUGAGCCCUUCCAAGCGAAAUGGCCGUGAAUUUACAACCAAUUCAGCUGGGGUCACUAAGAGAAGGUCAGAAGUUGACAUAUUUCUUGUAGUGGUGGGCGUCUCCGCUUCCCCACGCUGCCUCAGCAACUGCAUGACUUGACAAGUCCCUGCGACAUGUAAGGAAAACCAUCAUUACCUGCGAUCGUGGGAGACGCUGGUUGGCCUUAUCUUGCUAUAAAUGGGGAGGGGGCGGAGCCCCCAUUGCCCAUCUCUUCCUCGCUUGUUUGCUUCUUCCUCCUUGCUCCACUGCCAACAACAAUGGCGCCCAUCAGAAAGUUUUCUACUGAAGAGAAAGGAAAGGCUCCCCGCGAUGAUCCGGGGCCUCCUCCGCCGAAGAAGAGGUCGAUCCAUCGCCGUGACGAGGCGGCGAUGUAGGUGGUGUCGAGGCCUUGGUGCAAGUGGCCUCUUCCGAGGUACCCGCUGCCUUUGUACGCCCAAGCCGAGGGCUCAGGAGAACGGAGUGACGAGCAGCGCUGCCCACGCCGCAUCCAGGGCCGCCGCGCCUCGGCGACGCGCGCCGCUGCCCCUGGGGUUCACGCCGCGGACUCCUCGCGCUAGUUGGUGCCGUGGGCGCCGAUGCCUCCGAGCUCCUGGAUCCGCUUCCCGCGGUUCUUCUCCGACGUGAUGCCGCCGAGGGGGCCUCUCGAGCUCUGGCUGCAGCACGCCGACUGCAGCGCUCCGGCGACCGGAUCAGAGAUCGAAGCGGUCCCCACCGGCAAGAUCUUCAUGACGCGCGGCUGGGGCGAGAUCGCGCGGAUCUGCCGUGCAAGGGGGAAACCAUCACCGAUGGCCAUCUUCAUCAUCCCGACGCUCUCCAUGACGAGGAGGGAGUAGUCCACCCUUGGGGCUGAGGGUAUGUACCAGUAGCUAUGUGUUUGAUCUCUCUCUCUCUCUCUCUCUCUCUCUCGUGUUCUUGACAUGGCACGAUCUUGAUGUACCGCGAGCUUUGUUAUUAUAGUUGGAUCAUAUGGUGUUUCUCCCUAUCUACCUUCUUGUGAUGAAUUGAGUUUUACCUUUGAGGUUUCACUAUUAUCGGAUUGAAUACUUUUAUGGAUUUGAGAACACUUGAUGUAUGUCUUGCGUGGGAUACCCGUGGUGACAAUGGGGUAUUUUAUUGAUUCACUUGAUGUAUGUUUUGGCACUCAACUCGCGGAUUCCCGAGGUGACAUUGGGGUAAUCUAUGCAUAGGGGUUGACGCAAGUUUUUGUCCUUGUUUCUCCGGUAGGAAUCUUGAGGCACUCCUUGAGGUUCUUUAUGUUGGAUUGAAUAUUAUGAAUCUGAAGUUGUUUGAUGCAUAUCGUAUAAUUGACCCACGGAUACUUGUGGUGACAUUGGAGUAUCUAGGUGACAUUAGGGUUGGUUGAUGUGUGUCAUAUGGUGUUAUUUCACUAUGAUCUCUAGGGUUGUUUGUGACACUUAUAGGAAUAGCUCAAUGGAUUGAUGGGAAAGAAUAACUUUGAGGUGGUUUCGUACCCUACAAGCAAUUUCAUCUUAUGUUCUCCGUGAUAGGAACUUUGGAGUGACUUUUGUCGCACGUUGAGGGAUUGCCAUAUGAUCAAAUUAUGUUAUCAUUGUUGAGAGAACUUGCACUAGUGAAAGUAUGAACCCUAGGCCUUGUUUACAAUCAUUGCAAUACCGUUUUCGCUCACUUUUACUACUAGUUACCUUGCUUUUUUAUAUUUUUAGAUUACAAAAACCUAUAUCUACCAUCCAUAUUGCAGUUGUAUCACCAUCUCUUCGCCGAACUAGUGCACCUAUACAAUUUACCAUUGUAUUGGGUGUGCUGGGGACACAAGAGACUCCUUGUUAUUUGGUUGCAGGGUUUUUUGAGAGAGACCAUCUUCAUCCUACGCCUCCCACGGAUUGAUAAACCUUAGGCCAUCCACUUGAGGGAAAUUUGCUAUUGUCCUACAAAACUCUGCGCUUGGAGGCCCGACACGGGUCUACAAGAAGAAGGUUGCAUAGUAGACAUCACUAGGCACCUUGCCUUGGAGAUGCUGCUCUUUCCGCCAGACACAUCAACUCUCUCGAGAGGGUGGAUGACCCCACCUCGGCCGCCGACGCCUCCUGUUGGGGGGCCUGGCCGCAACAUCAUGUGGGCAGCGAGUAGCGGAUGGAUCAUCUUGCCGAUGUCUUCCCUUGAGGCAGGGAGUGCGCUUGUCUUCAUCUGGAUGAAUUGGCUCGGGGGGAGGGGGUGACAGACACAUUGCAAUGCAUGAGUAGGGAUGGCACCCGCAGGGUUUGGGUAUGGGUGGAGCCACCCCAUACCCUUACCCAUCCUCUCUGAGCUUACCCAUCACCCUUACCCAUAUCCAUCAAUGGGUAUAAUUUUUUUCCCAUACCCAUUACCCGACAGGGUAUAUGGGUACCAUGGGUAAAAUUACCCAUGUUUGCAAAGCAUCAGUUUGAACUACUCAUAGUCAUAAAACAACAUAUAAUUAUAAUUUAUAAACAACAAUAGAUUAUAACAACAACAACACACUUUUAAACAACAACACAUCAUAAACAACAUCAUAUUUAAUAAACAACAUCACUUUCUCGUAAACAACAACACAUCAAAACAUCAUCACACAGUCGUAUAUUUUGAGUUCACAAAUUCAUGAUAAAGUGUAGAGAUAAUUUUGAGUUCAUAUAGAUUUUAUAUGGGUACAUGGGUAUGUGGGUAUGGGUUACAUGAUCACAUACCCGUACCCACUCUACCCGAUGGGUUUAACAUUUCCCUAUUCAUAUACCCAUGGAUAAUUUUUUGUCCCAUACCCUUACCCUAAUAGGGUUUUUACCCGCAGGGUACGUGAGUAAUGGGUACCCAUUGCCAUCCCUACGCAUGAGGAUGCAUCCACGUUCGCGACCAUCCCCAAAGCCAAAAAUAAACUAAUCACUACUGCUCUAAUAAUCAUGCUAAUGCAAAAUCGAUCAAUGUGCGCCUCCAUCCCUAGCAUACUAGCUCGAGGAGGAACAAAGGGGAAGCCACUUGGAAUGAAUGAUUUGUGGUGAAUUGCCUCAUUGCCUUCUAUUUAUAAAUAGGAUCAUAACUUGCACACCAAGACAAGAUCAUAACAAAAUCAAUCUACAAGAUCCUAGAAUCCCUAUACAAUCUGUUACGAUGCAAAACUAAUCAUGUACUAAAUAACAAAAGAUUUUCCACAAUCUCCAAAGAUAUUUACGUCAAAUUUUCCUAAACACUAACAAUCUGAUGUCAAUUCAGAUUUUUUUUGCAAACUAUGUGUGACACGUUCAAUUCCCUAGUACGAAUCUCAAGACAAGACACAUGGAAAUCAUCGUUCACUCACACACAUCCUCUAAGCGAACUACGAGCUGACGGCAUGAAAUAGUUUGCUCAGCAAUCUGACCGAUGUUGGGAACUUUCUUUUCUAGGCGGACAAUUCUCCAUGUUGCAUCAUGGCAAAUCCACUAAAAUGCAUGUUAUCGUAUGGAAAAUUCCUGACAAUCUUCCUGCUAGCAUGGCAAAUUAAUAUAUAAAUCAUUGCAAAUCAUUAUACAAUAGAUGGCAAAUGUAUGUGUUUUUAGCAUGGCAAUUCUUGAGCACUGGUAGUGGCUUUUUUGAGGGAACACUCAUAGAUGGUGGCGUUUGCUCAUAUGACCUCUCAUAGGGUACGAUAGUCCGCUCGGGUGACCUUCUUGAGCUGCCAUUAGCACAUUAUCCGUACCCUAACAUUUCCCCUCAAGUAAAGCAAACACAAGGUUGAAGUUGCGUCCUAUUUUUUCUAACAUGAUCUUUGUAGCAGGUUUAGUGAAGGUAUCAACUACUUGAUCACCAGAGGACACAAAAUGACCAUUGCAAUGCCCCGAGCACCACCUUUUCUUUAAUGAAUUGGAGGUCCACCUCGAGUACAAAUUGCACCCCAAGUGACUUCAGCUGCACCAUUAUUGCAAAGGCCUUGUAUUCUACCUCGUUAAUGGAACUUCACAUUGUUGGCUAUUUCCGGGAACUCAAUGAAAUCAGGUUAGGUCUAAGGAAGACCACAAAGUCGUCCAUGGAGUGUUUGUCACUGGCACAUCCCACCCAGUCAGUAUCAAUGAAGACACUCAAAAGUGUGGAGCUUGACUGAUGGAUGUGAAGACAGGUAGCCACAUUACCUUUGACAUAUCACAUUAUGUGCUUAACAACUUUCCAUGUAUUUGGAAAGAUAUUGCACACAAAAUAUCAAAAUGGGGUACUGCAAACCUCCGACCACACCACGGUAUAUGAAGGCAUCAUCAUCAUUAAGGGGAGUGUCAAUCAGCCUCGAUCUUGUUGGUGAAUAAUAUGAGUUUAGGGACUACCCAGGAAUUACCACGUUAAUAGAAAAAUACAAGUUGUUCAUUUGGUGGAACCGAGUUAUUAUGGUGUGGAUUAUCCCAUGUAAAUAAAUGUCAAAAGGCCCACUGUCUAUCCAUGUUUGUAAAAAAAAUGUUUGCUUAGACUGCCCACAAUGGCACAAUCAUUUUACGGUUGUAGGAAUAAUGAUAGUCUAACACGUAAGAAGGAAUAAUGAUCAUUUAAAAAGACUGUAGUUAUGGUUCUCUCUAAACCCCCACAAACCAAUCAUGUAUGUGCCUUAAGGUUGAAGGAUAUAUACCUCCUUUUUUAGGGGAAAGGAUAUAUAUGCCUCCUUUUUUAGGGGAAAGGAUAUAUAUGCCCCCUAAAAAGGAAGUCUAGCGAGAUAAAGCCAUGGUCUCUUCAACUCUCCGUUAAAAACAACAACGAACUGAAGGAAAUCUUAUGGCAUUAGAUCCCUAGGUUACAAAUCAUGUAGAGUAAAAAAUAAAGCAGAAAGCAAUCAUGACAAAGCUCCCCUGCAGGCUGCAAGAACUCUCGGAUCCCCUUCCCAAAUAGCCUUCACGUUGCCACACCUCUUGAAUGGCACAACAUUGAGAUUCAAGAGUUUCCUACGAGAACUAAUCUAAAAAUAGGGUACAAAUAUACGAUCCAACCCAGCUUCUCCAUCUCCUGUGAACCAACUCCUCCUCAAGCUUACAAACCUUGCAACUGAAUCCCAUCAGCUUUCAUGUUUAGACCACUCGCCGGAGAAGUUGCUUAUCUGCAACUCAUGUUCUCUCAGCCUUAUCCACCAACAGGUCGAGCCAGUACGCGUCGUCAUUGCCACCACCUUGUGGGAGAUUCGAUCCAUGGGCCGCCACAGGGGUUGGACUACCCUUAUCGUACAACACUACAAUGUUCUCAAAGAACUACGCCACAGACGAAGGUAGAUAUCUUAUUCAUCUGGAAAAAAUGAAUCUUCUUAUCAGGGUUUCUUCAAUGGUGCACACAUCUGUUUUUCGAUAUUAUUGCCUUCAUGUCUCACGUGACUAUACAUGGAUACCAUCACAAGAAUGCAUCCAAACCACAAUCCAUGAAGACUAGUGGUGUCGUAAUACAUCAAUGUGAUACUUCAGGACCAUCACAUGAAAAAACAAUCCUUCUGGUUCCUAAAUUUUUGGUGCAGAAGUCCAGGCAAAGUAGCAACUCGGUCAUGGUUGUUUUUCUCCUUAAUUAGUAUAUGUUUAUUAUCUUCAAUUUUUCUCUAGUAUACGCCAUACUGGUCCAAAUAAGAAAAAUAUAUCUACUUGAAGGGAUAGGACACCGGUGAGGAGCAAGCACAGCCACCGCCCACACCCACUCCCUCCACACACACAAACACACACACACACACACACACACAACACACACACACACACAUCACGGGCACAUAGAGAGCUAACCAGAUCAAACUACAGAAAAAAUAAGAAAGAAAAAUAGAGAGGAGAAAACACAAGAUGAUAGAUGGAAGAAGUACCAUGGCGAGCAAAACUGGGGAUGGUGUUGCGUACGAGCCGGGUGAUUACCCUGCUGAUCUAACACUUACGAAACAGACAAAACUAAAGAAUUAAAUCUACAAACAUCUUGCUUCAGGGGAGUGCAUCUUCAAUCGUUUCUACCUGAAAAAUGCCAAACUCUGCACUCAAUAAGGAAAACAGCAACAAAACAGAGGCCUUGAUAAUACUCCCAUAAAAAACAUGUUAAAUCAAUCAGACACAAAAAUGUGCUAAAUUAAAUGUCAUUGCAUAUGCAUCCGCAGGUAUGCGUCCGAUGACAACAUGAUGACACAACGAGCAGGAGCCACUAAGAUGCUAUCAGCAUUCUCAACAGCAAUGAUCAAUCUACCAGUCCUUGAAAGGACAGAUCCUGACUAAGCAUCAUUUCAACAACUAAUAAUACAAUAACAAACAUCAAAGGAUGUGCUAGGGUGUAUCCCCGUCAGACAGAAUAGCAAUGCCAUUUUGCUUCUCAACAAUGCAAACUGGAAGUAAAAUUUGGCAGCAGCAAUGAACAACAGAAAAGUUCUAAGAGCAUGUCUAGCAGACACCGUAAAAGUUCGACCUUUAAAACAUGUAUACAGGGCGCUUCAAACUGAUUUUACAGGCUGAAAACAGUCACAAUAGAAUAGAUACACUAAAACUGGCCCUUAAAAGAGCAUCUACCAGCGAGACCCGCAUUUAUUAUUCCAUAUUUUAUUUAUUUUCUCUUCUUCUUUCCGUGAGGCUCCUCCUUAUCCUCAUGCACGGGCUGGUCGAGGCCCGACCCACCGAUGCCCCUCCGGCCUGCCGCUGCCGCCGCCCAUCCUUUGCCCCUCCAGCUGCGCCUUUGGCUCGCCCGUCCCCCGCCGCCCAUCCACUCUCCACCAAAGUCCCAUGCACCGCCGCCCCUGCCAGCGCUGCCAGUGCACCGCCGCCGCAAGCUAGUGCCUCGGUAGGAGGAGUUCGGGGCUGCUCCCGGAGUGCGCGAGGCCGGCCCCAGGACCGCAUCCGCCAACCUGCCAUGGCCGCAUGCACACGCGAGCCCGGCCCCAGGCCCGCAUCCCGUUCCUCUUCCUCGCGUCGAGCACGAACGAGAUCAGCCAUGGCCGCACGUACGCGCUUGAUCCUUUUGAAGUGCAGAAUUUUGUUGGAACUGGUAAAAAUCGACGGCUGGAGACGGGUGGUACGGACGGCGGUGAGGGCGGAGAGGGCAUCGGAAUCAGCCAGUUCAUGGCAUGUAUACCGUCCUCGGACCCGUAGAAGUAUGGGUCAGAGGCUCGCGUUUUCGGUGUGUCCAUAAAACGUACUCCCUCCAUUCCACAAUGUAGUGCUUCCUCUAUCCACAUGCUUCAACUUAGACCGUAAAUUUAACUACCAAGACCGAUUGUGGUGGGAGCAAAAAUUAUAUCAGUGAAUUCGUAUUCGAAAGAAGCUUUCAAUUAUAUAAUUUUUUCUCCCGCCGUAGUUGGUCUCGUUGGUUAAAUUUAUGGUCAAAGUUGGACCUCGGGAAGCACGGACGCACUAUAUUUUGGAAUGGAGGGAGUAUAAGGGUCCACGGACUUUUACCGCGUCUGUUCUCGAUAAAAAAAUGAUCUGAAACCAUAAACCCGCCGGAAUUUUACAGGUUUGGCCUUUUUAAGGAGUCUGCUAAUGAUGCUCUAAUAGCAUAGACAUACAUAAUACUUGAUAGUUCGGAGCAUUAGAAUGAUGUUCAAGACAUCAUAAUAAGCACCAGAUGAUGACAGAAAAGUACUACCGUAACCAUCCAAAAUGUAGUUCUACCUUUAGUAGUAGCUAAUAAGUAAGAAGACUGAAAAAAAUUAUCUUGUACAAGAAAUGUGUACAUGGCUGAUAGGUUGAUAGACUGAACUCAAACUCAACUCAACUUCAAGAUGAUGACAAAACGAACUAAUCUAAUGCAGGUCAUACUGAAAUCUGAAGAUUAAAACUGAAAAAUGAAAGAAAGCUGAAUAAGUGCUGCAAACUGAGAAAGUGGUCUGAACAAACAAACACUAGAGAUUGCAAAGGCCGGCAGGCAAGUAGGCAAAGAAACUAAGAAGUGGACUGUGAGAGGAACACUGAGUAAGCAUCAAGACCCCCAAUCCUCGAGCAGAACAAGAACUCGGCGAAUACGACGCCACAGAUUGGCGACCUUACCCAGUGUACUCCCUCUGUAAAGAAAUAUAAAGCGUUUACAUUACUACUACACGUAGGGCGAUCGUACGCGAAUACUGGUAGCUUGCACCUGACCCAGUGUCAAGAGUGUUCUGAAUUUACAAACGCAACUGGCAGGCGAAAGGAUUACACAUAGGAGACUAAGAUAAAGGUUCAGAUCGAUCGAAAUAACAUGACAGCUUGAACCGUGCUUCCUGCUGUUUAGUUCUCCCGGCGGGGUCCUCUUACGGUUUGGCUCGAAUCUCCUUUUCAACAUAACAUCAUUGUAGUUGUUUUUGGUGCAUCAAGACGGGAUCUAAGUUAUGUCAGAUUUUUUUCCCACUUGAUGAAGGCCAUGUUGUCAGGUUGUGGUCUCGUUUGUUCUUACUAAAUCAUCGUUUUUGUUUUAAAUUUUUGGUCACCAAGAUUUUUUGUUGGUUUUCAGUUUUCUAGGAAUUUUUGUUGUUUUAAAUUUUGGUCACCGCUUCUGACCACUCAGAUUCGUAACCGUGCCACAGCCUGCAAAGAUCAAAAGAACAAUUCUCUGGUUGCGUUUUUGGUUGGCUCUUUUGAUUUAGCGAGGAGGAGUGCAGCACAUACGUACUAUGUAAAGAUCAAAAGAGGGAAGAAUCAAUCAUCUGGUUUCUUUUUCCUUGGCUUAAUCCAGACGAUGGGGUUGGCGAAUCAAAAGCAGAUAAUUAAAGCAUCGAUGGGGAGUUUUGCCAAACAUCAAGAGAGGAAUCCUUUGCUUGGCCUCAUCUCCAAGGCAUGAAAUCAAAAGCAUUAGUACCGAAUAACAUCAAUAGCAGGAGUUUGUGCCAAGGAGCAGCAGCACGUAAAGAUAGAAAGACGAUUCCUUUAGCUGUUCCGACGACUUAUGUCGGACGCUCGGUGUUGCCGUAUGUAAGCUGAUAGAGUAUCCCUGCCAUGGCGCACAUCUUAAGCACGGAGACGGGAGACAGUCCUUUCCGUUGGCGACAGAGAGCUUUCGUGUGCGUGUGUGUGUGUGAGGGAGAGGGAGAGGGAGGAGGAGAAAGGGAGUGCCAGCCCGGCCGGAGAUGGGUCUCGUCUCAGGUGCUCUGAAAUGCUGGGAGGAGUGGCAGCUGCGUAUCCUGGUGCUCAGCAGCCUAUGUGUCCAGUUCUUCCUCUACUUCUCCAUGUGGGUGCGUCGAGUCCCCGGCCUACGCAGGCUGAGAGUGGUGGUGUGGAUGGCGUACAUAGGAGGCGACGCCCUCGCAAUCUACGCCCUUGCCACCCUCUUCAACCGCCAUAAGCAGUGGACGACGGAUGCGGUGGGUGAGAGCAGCAGCGACCUGGAGGUGAUAUGGGCGCCUGUUCUCCUCAUCCACCUGGGUGGCCACCUGACAUUGAGCGCCUACUGCCUCGAGGACAAUGAGUUGUGGCUACGACAUGUCAUAACUCUGGUAUCUCAGGUCACCGUCGCCUUGUACGUCUUCUGCAAGUGGUGGUCCGGCGAGUUGAGGCUGCUGCUGGCGGCAGUUAUGCUCUUCGUCUUUGGCAUCCUGAAAUUUGGUCUCAAGCCAUGGACUCUCAGGAGAGCUAGCUAUAGUCAGAUGCUCGCUUCCACCGAUGUGUCCCAACCAAGAGAGGGAGAAAAAAGAAGUCGCGAUGGAGCAACAGGGGACAGCCCCCUUUCCCUUGAUGAAUAUGUGACACAAGCAAAGGCGAGCAUGUGCACAGCGAGCUGCGAGCAACAAGCUGCUAACCCGCCUACGGCAAUAGCAAUCAGACACAUUGAUUACUUUGUGGACCUGUCCGCUCCGUACGGUGGUCGGCUAAGUGACCUGUGGUAUCUCCAGAGCAACAACAAGAAGACGACGAAUGCAUCAUACAAGAUGUUGCAAACGUGCUUUGAUCAAAUAUUCGAUCUCUUGUACACCAAAAUGGGAUAUGUUGAUGGAGACACCAAUGUGGGAUUCACUUCUUUUGAGAUUCUGUUUACGCUUUUGCUUCCAUUAGUGGCUUUAGCUUCCCUGAUGCUCUUCGCCACAGGCAACAAGCAUGGUUACAACAGCAAGGACGUCAAGGUGACAUACAUCCUUUUCUCUUGCACUACUCUGCUGGAGUUCUUACAGUUAUGGUGUGGUAUUGUCACUGCAUGCAUUCCUUGCCUGAAAUUCAUCAACGAGUAUCUCGAGGGAUGGCAUGACAUGGUUUCCCAGUACGACCUCAUGUCGUUCUAUGUUCGCAAGAAGAAACCCACCUUCUUGAUGAAGAUCUUUUUCUUCAAAUGUCUAAGGGGGUAUGUUAGCAAGGUUUGGUAUGUAAGGCAAGUGCCUGCAGCCUACGAAAUUACGGAGCUAGUUCAACGGCACAUAGAAGAUGGAUGGAGGACAUUCAUAACUGAUGCCGCCACCUACAGGAGGUUCAGCGAUUUCAGGGGCCAGCUGACUCUGGAGAGGUCCAGUGAAGCACCAACAGGGGGUGGCCUUGGAGAGGAGUUGUGGGAUAGCUUGAAGGUGCCAUUCGACAGGAGUAUCCUUCUUUGGCACAUCGCCACAAAUCUCUGCUUUCACCGGCCCGUGGACAAGCCAUCAUCCUUCCCUCGAGGACAAAGUGACCUUACGCAACGCUGUAUGGAGAUGUCCGACUACAUGUUAUACCUGCUUUUCAUUCGCACCGAGAUGCUGUCGCCCGGCACCAGACCGGGUCUCUUCACCGUCGCCAUAUAUGAUCUAGAGGAAAUCUUGAAGAACAACAAGGCAAAGCUCCAGGAUGAAGAAGCACUUGCUCAAGAGAUUAUUCAACAGACGGCCGGGACUACUCUGAUUCACAAAGCUUGCAGGCUGGCUAUGUCAUUGAUGGACCUGCAGGAAGAGGAGAUGUGGGAGAUAAUCCAGGGCGUGUGGGUGGAGAUGCUCUGCUACUCUGCUAGUAGAUGCAGAGGAUUCCUGCACGCCAAGAGCCUGGGUGAAGGCGGGGAAUACCUCUCCUAUGUGUGGCUCCUCUGGUCAUACAUGGGGAUGGAGACCUUGGCGGACAAGAUUCACAAGCCCGAGUCUCCGAAAGAAAAGGAGAUCCUUGUUGAGGACGAUGAUUUGGCUUCUUCGUCCCACGGUGGACUCAACCGCCAAACUUCAACAGCAGGUAUCCCUAGCCCAGUGUGACUUCAUUCCUUCGUGUUAUUCCAUGUUACUGUGUGUUAAAAAUUUAUUACUCCCCCCGUUCCCUAAUAUAAGACUUUUUAGUUUUUUCUUGAUUUGUAUGUAUCUAGACACAUUUUAGUAUGUACAGUUAAUAUUUUAAAAUAGCUAAAAUGUCUUAUAUUAAGGAACGGAGGGAGUAUGAUCUUGCAAGAGCGGCCCCUUCUUUGGGUGCAAGGCCACCAUGUUCAUUUCAUUCCCAAGCGGAUGUUAUUUGUAUUCCUAUGAAUAUUGUGCUGCAAUGAAUUCUUCUUUCACCUGAAAAAAAAAA